UUUUUUUCUUGUAAUUAUAUUCGAGUUGUUGGAUUCAAUCCAAAUGGACAGGCCUUAAGAUUAUAUAGUCCUUUGGUCAUAUGUUCGAAUCUACAGAUUUUGACCUUAGAUUUGCCAAUGUAGCGUGCAGCAUGCAUUAUAUUACAACCAUCCCAUCGUAUUCAUGUAUCAAUGCGUAAGUGAUCAUAUAAUAGUUGUAUUUCAGGUUAUGCAGACUGAUGAUAUGGAGGGAGUUAGCUUUAUAGCUUAUCAACUCAAAGAUGUUUCUUAUCAGUGGUACAAGGAGUGGGAAAGAGAUAAGGGUAAUAUGGGAGAGGAAGGGUUGUAGGAGGCUUUUUCUAUAGUGUAGUUCAAAAUCAAACACCAAAUCCAUCCAUUACAAAUCCAAAUUAGUUUACAAACUUUUUUUCCAGCAAUUACAACGAAAAAAUUGACCAAAAUUUAAUAGCUUAACUUACUCAAUGACUAGGUCUAUUUCUAACCAAGCACCACUUCUAUCUCCUUUAUUACAGGAAACACCAUGCCUCUACUACCUCUACCUCCUCUACUACCUUUACUGCCUCUACCUCCUCUACUGCCUCUACCGCCUCUACUUCUACUGCCCCUAUUAUUACUCUCAUCAUCUCUAUUUUCACUGGCAUUAUUAAUAUUUUCAUAAAUUCUGCCCCCUCUUCCACCACCGUAUCUACCUCUACUACCUUUACUUCCACCGCCCCUAUUAUCACUCUCAUUAUCUCUAUUUUUACCACCAUCAUCAAUAUUUUCAUAACUUCAAUCCCCUCUUCCACCACUGUGUCUAUUUGGGAAAUUCUCACAUCCACUUCUAUUCUUGUUCAUUAAUUACCUUCCAUGAGUACAAACUUUCCUAGGAUUUUUUAUGAAUGUCACAUGAUCAUCAUCAUCUAGGUUAUCUCCCCCAAUAUCUGGGACAACAAUGUUAUCAUCCCAAUCUAAAUAUGCAUUCAAACAUGCCAUCAAAAUAUUUUUAGAGUCCCGACUCUUAAUAUCAUCGUCCAAAGCAACAUCACAAAUUCUUUUGAACCAUUUCUUCAACAUAUUGUAUUUUUGUACUCAAAUGACAUUGUUGGGCAGACUUCGAGAAAGAAUUUCUUCAAGUGUGGGCGGAUUAUAUCUCUUCUCCACUGUCAUAAUAUAUAUCUAUUGGAGACCAUAUCAAUCUUCUUGUGUGCCAAGAUUGAUAUAACAUGGUAGAAAAAAAAUACAAAAUUUAGAAAGUACCUACAAUUACAAUCAAAAUAUUGAGUGUUUGGCCUAUACUACAUCAUGAACACAAAUGGUUUGCCAUGAAAGUCUGUACGUAUUGAAAAUAUGUUAUGUUGUACUUCUCAAGACCCUCUACAACUUCAACACUCUCAGUAACGUGGAUUUCACUAUGGUAAAGCCAUUCCAUUUUGAUCCUUAACUGAUCAUAAAUUGUCCCAAAGUAAUGUUUUAGAAGUUGUAACUCCCAACGAUAUCUAAACAUAGGUCUUACAUAUAUGUUUCUAGAGGAGUGUUCAGUUUCUAAUUCUUUCUCAUAUUUUUCUCUCAUGGAUACCUCAUAUUUCUCCACAAACUUCUUUAGGAUAAAUCAUUUAUAUAUCGAUUAAAGAAAAAAUGCAUUGACUCAUACCUUUGUGUGGAUAUAAUGCCAGCCCAAAAGUAGUGCUUUAGAAAUACAAGAACCUAUUUCUCCUUUUCCAACAUCAACUUAGAAAACUAACUCCUUGAACCUAUGUUAUAUUUUUUAAUGAAUUCAAUCUAUUUACGCUCAAAUUCUUUGAUAGUAAUACUAUCAAAGAUAAUAGAUUUGAAUUCACUCUUGGAAACUUUAACAUUUCGCACACCCAUAAGCCUAGCAAGAAGCUUUGUGAGGAUGUGCCAAAUGCAAUACUUGUGGACUAUGUUUGGCAUCACUUUUCUAAUGGUUUCCUUGAUAAUCUCACAUUGGUAGAUGAGGAUAGAAGUUGGUGCAUUAUUGUCCAUGGCCUGAAGCCAUGUUGAAAAUACAAAGUUAUAGGUUUGAAUGUCCUCGCUUGUGAUCAAGGCACAACAAAAAGUAUGGACUGCAUAUGCUGAUUCACAACAAUGAAAGACCAUUGAUUAACAAAGUACGUUGUAUCAAAACAUAUAAUGUCAAAAAAUUAUGAUAUGCAGCCUUGCAAUAUGUAUGAAAUCAUACUAUAUUAUGAAGUCUACCAACAUGGUCUCUGUCUACAGGAUAGAAAAAUUUCUCUAUCCUUCGACUGCAUAUCACAAAAGAAUCUCUUUAUUUCUUUAGCAUCACUGGACAAGGUUCUUAUCCUCAUUUGAUGAAGAAUGUAAUUUCUAUAGCCAGACCACCAGAUUUUACUUUCAAGAGUCAUAUGCUCUUUGAAGGUCUUAAUCCUGCAAUGUCAUGAGCUAAAAGAUUUCUCUUCUCAGUCCUACUUAACUGUAUAUUGCAAGCCAUAAAUUGUGAAAAUAAAAAAUUCAUUUCAUGAUUUUGCACUGCAACGACUUUAGAAAUAAUCCAUGAACCAUUACUCAUAAAGAAUAGUUUAUUUUUGCCAGGCAGUCAACUCUUUUUCUUUGAUUUCUUGCCUUUUAUUUUCUACUCUUAUCACAAGCAUAGGUCACAUACCUCACGAAAGCAACACCCUUUUUUGAUAUUUUUUACACGACAUGAAAAUCCUUUAAUCCAUCAUGUUCAUUGUAGAAUACAAACACAGAUACAAGACUUACAAAAAUCAUACCUUCAAUAGGAUUUUGUACGUAUUGUUCAUUCUUAAAGGUCUUCUUAUACAUUUAUUCUUCGUCUUCUUUGACCCGUUGACCCUUAAAUUCAUAUUCUUAUAGAUUUGAAAUAUUAACAACUUCAUCUUCCUCCAUUUGAUAAGGCAUAUUUAGCUCCUCACCAACUUUGGCAAGUAAGUUUGUAAAACGACCAUUAUCACUUAAAAAAAAAUUUGGUGCAACGUCAUAACCACCAUCUGAAACUUCAUCAUAUUAAUUAUUAUUUUAGACCAAACUAUCAGUAUCACCAAUUCCAAAAAGUUCAUCCAAGGUUUUGUUUAAUCAAAUACUAAGAAUUCUUGAAUCCGCUUUCUCAAAAAGAUAAUAGGAAGACUUAAAAUAGGGAGACAAGAAAGAAAGAACAAUAGAAGAGAAUUAAAUUAGUAAAACAUAAGAAAUGAAGAUCAUAAAAAAAUAGAAAAAGAGAAGAAAUAAAGAUGAACAGAAAUCUAUAAGAGAGAAGAAAUUAAAGUAAUAAAGAUGAACGAAGAAUCAAUAUAGGUAAAAUAUAUAAGAGAGAAUAAAUAAAGAUGAGCAGCUUGGGGUUUUGAAAUACACGAAGUGUAAGCAGCUCAAGCCUAGAUCUAGUUGGACGAAACUAACUAGGUAAUUUUAUUUUGGUGAGAAGNNNNNNNNNNNNNNNNNNNNNNNNNNNNNNNNNNNNNNNNNNNGUGGGUGGGUGGGACGAGAGAAAGCAAUUCAAGAUCCAAAGGGAAUUAUGGACUUUACAUUUAGGUUGUGUCAAAUUGUGUCAAAAGAGGUUAUGCCCUCUAGCACUACCUUUGAAAUAAUCGAGAUACAAUGACAUUUGAAAAAAGCAUCAUAGGUUAAAUCUCCUCAUUUUGAGGACAUAGAGAAUUUGCUCAUUAAAUAAUUUAAAGAGAUUUUUCGGAAUAAAAACACAAUUUUAUUGACUACAAAUUCCAAAUAACUCCUCAAAGUAACAAUUGGACAAGUUCAAUCCGAUGAAAAACAUUUUGUGGCACAUUUGACUAGUUUUCUCAAUAAAAUUUCAAAUUUCUAUCCCUUAUUCAUUCACUCCAUUUUGUUCCUUAACUUAUAGACAUUAACAAAGUUUUUAACAUGUAAGUAUAAAGGGUGAGUAUAAGAUGAAAGUAACUUCAUAUUAGGAAGAAGAGAUAAGUGGCACUAGCUUCAUGUAAAAGCACUUGGUCAUAUCAAAGUGAACUUUGUAUUAGGCAGAUUUAUACUAUUGUUUAUAUUUCUUUGUUUUCCUAAUGCUCUUCUUAAUAUAUAUCUCUUAAUAAACUAUUUAUUGUCUUACUCAAGUAAAGUAUAUAAGGUUCAGUGGAAUGGAGACAAGUCAAAAAACAUGUUCAGUGCAUAUGAGAUUGAAAGAAUAUAUUACUCUCUAAAAUAGUGAACCACCUUUGAUUCUUUCCCCAUAAUAUUAUGAGAAAUUCUAAUGAGAACAUUUGAGGUAAUAACUUUUUCUUGUAGCAACUCCUAGAUGUUUUCAUGCCUUGAUUUAUUAUCUUGUAGUUCCUUGCUCAUGCUCAUGUCUCUAGGGUCCCAAUCUUGGUAUAAUUUAGUUUAAUUAUUGAUGGUAAGUAAAGCUUUAGAUAGACAAAAGGAAACAUUGAUAAUUCAUAUUUUCGCUCUAGCUUUAGUCUUUAUUCAAGGAUGAAUGAUUUCAAUGGAAAGAUAUUGUAACAUCCCGAAUGUCUGAACUAAGAACUAAGUCAUUAUUCAAAUGUGUAUAAACCUGAACCUUAUGAUUUCUAAUGGUGUAUAGGUGUUAAUACAAGUUCCUUAGUGUGUAAAGAUCUUUAGAUAUGAAUUAAGGUCAUAAGAAACUUCUAAUACAAAGUAAAGUUAAAAGCUUCCUUACCCAUUAAGUUUCCAUAUAAGAUUUUACUAGGGUCAACUUCAAAUGAGCAUAACUCAUAGAAUAUGAAGAUUUUUGUAGCUCAGAACCCACCAAAUUAAAGUUCUUCAAGGUUUUCUUUCCAAUGUCACCAAUCGUUUACUAAUCCAAUCUCGACGUCAUAAGUUAUGAUCGUUUUACUACAACGUGCCAAUGCAGAGAAAAGUUUGGUGAAUCAUCAGAUAGUUUAGUGUAUCUCACCAAACUCACUCAAAAACAUUUAAAUUCAUUUUAACUAUCUAAGUUUGCACUUUCACAAAUCGCUUGAUAGUUUGGUAAGCUCACCUCUAAAUCGCCAAAAUGUUCGACGAGAUUCAUUAAAAGGUCAUUUUUCGACUUUUCCCAAUUUCUUUCUAUUUUCUAUCAUCCCCAAAUUGGUAUUUUCUCCUCUCCCUAUCGUCCAACCCUAAGGUAAGUUACUCAAAUGCAAUUCUAAGAAAUUGCUAUUUUUCCAAUCAUUCUUUUUUAGAAUUAUUAAAUCCUACACCAUAACCUAGGAUUUUGAAGAAAACUUAAUCAAGAUUUCUAGAACUAAAUUCUUAGAGAUCCUUCCACAUAUUAGGAUUCCUCUUUGACUUCUUUAAAAGUAAUUAAAUUAUGUGGAACUUCAAUGAGGUUUUCCUUACAUUCCCACGUCCAAAAUUUUUUGUUUUUCAUGAACUAAGGUUAGGGUUUAUAAACCCAUUCUUAAACUAGUCUUUUAAUGAAGCAUACUACAUCAUUUCUUGAUAUUUUAGAUACGGGUAUUAGUUUUAUACAUACUGCAGUUAUAUUUGUUUAACUUUAAUUCUUGAUACGAUUCUCAAAUAUUAUUUUCAGGGAAAAUAUGCAUUUGAAUUAUGAUUUUAGAAUUUUAAUGACAUGAUGAACUUUCAAGAAACUUGAAUAAACUCAAAGAAGGGGAAAUUCCAUGAUAUCUAUGAAAUACAAUUUUUUGAAAAAAUUCAAGUUUUAUCUAUAUCCAUAAUCUAUAAUCUGUAAUCUAGAUCUAUAUGUAUAAUCUAUUGUAAGGGAUUGAUUUUAUAAUUUUUCUAUUUUUAUGUGUUUUGACUAUUUUACCCAUUUUCAUACAGUUACGUAAUAUUUCUGGGGUGUGGGGAUUUUAUGAUGCUAUUUGUGUGAGUUUAUGAUUUUUGGAGGUUAAAAAGUUUUAUAAUUAACUUCGGUCAGCAUUUAUUAUAUUGUGUGUCGAAUGUCAAAAUAGACUAAUCAGAAAUGUUGAUUUUGGAUUGGUAGUGUGGUUGGUUCAAUUUUUUGACUCUUAUAUCUCAUUUUGACCCUCAAUUAGGAAAGGUCUUGAGGGUAAAUUCUACGAAAAUAACCUCUUUUCAAAAAUCCGACGGUGCCAUUGAGUCUAAAACAUCGAAUUUGAUAGGAUAGCAUAAUUCAUUUUCAUUCAAGGGAUUUUGGAUGAAUCUUGAAGGAUCAGUGGAGAUGAAAUUUUUCAAGUCCCCAGUUGGUGCACCAAUCAGUUAGUGCAUUCGCUUAAGCGCCACUUGAGUUACUUAAGCGAAGCCCGUAAAUAUGCCUAGUUAGUCGCUUAAGCGACCAGGCUACCAGCUAGUGGGUCAUAUAAGCAAGGUCUCCUUUGCUAAAGAGAGUACAACUUAAGCAGAUAGUGGGUUGAUUAUGCGAUAUGUUCAUGCACAACGUGUACCAAAAAAUUUGUACUUGGCAGGGAAGCGGUGACCGCUUAAGCGGCCCACUGUCUGCUUAAGUGGCACCUGGGUGACAUUAAAUGCCCUUUUGGCCUGAUUUUCUCUAUUUUUGAGAUUUUGAUCUUCAAGUUUUGGAGUUUUGGGGAAAUUUCUUUCAUUUUCAAACUUGGUUAACAUUCAAAUCACUAUUUCAAUUAUUUUACUUAAACUCGUCAUCUAAAACCCGCUAAAUUGUAUUUUUAAAAGUGAAAUUUGGGGAUUUUGGAUUGAAAGGGCUAAAAUUCUUUUUCUUCAAUUUAAGCCUCGUAUUUAGCCCAUUUUACUUAGGUUUUAUUCUAUGAAUUUCUUAAAUCAUGGGUAAUAUGUUUACGAACAAAAAUUCUUGUUUUACCCUUUCUUUUCAAAAUUUCAUUCCGAGGGUCCAUUUUGACCCCAAUUCAAAAAUAGAAAAAAUGAGUAUUGUUGGCUUUUUUUAUGCAUAGAUUCUAUAUUUGUGUGUUUUACUUUAUUUUGAGGCCGGAUGAAAGGGGUAGGCUCCGUGUUGAAGGGCUUUGGACUGGUAUUUCAUUAUUUGAGGUAGGUUAUGACUUAACUUUCUUCAAAAUUGGGUUGGGUAGUUAAUGUUUGUAUAAAAACAUGCUAUGAGUAUGGGUAAUAAUCAUGAAAAAUAAUGUUAUUACUGUUGUAUGCUCGUGUUGGACUUAUAUUGUUAUUAUUAGUAAUUUGAGGUGAUAUUUGAUAUAUGUGACCCGUAAGGGGGUCUUAUCUAACAUUAUUGGCCUUAUGUAUACCUUUGGUUAUUUUCUUCAUGAUAGAAAAUGCCUAAGUUAGGGUUAAUGUGAUAUAUAUGAUAUCUUAUUAGCAUAUUUCACUCUAAUGGUACAUGGCUUAUAUUGAAUCAUGGAUGAUUGACAUAUUUAGUGGAUUUUUAGCUCAAGUGUGUGUGUACUGGCUGGGUUUGAGAUCUUCAUACUGGUGUUGUGAGUAGUACAUCCUUAUAUCAUACAUACAUUCAGGAGAUAUUGGUUCCAUUGUGGAGAUACUUAAUUUUUUGACAUAAAUGAAAAACUUUUACAAAACCCUCUACUAUAGUCCAUUAGUCAUAAAGGAAAUAUGGGUAUUGAGAUUGGAAUUGAGUAUAGAGAUUGUAUAUGGGUUGUGAAUCCCCCAUGGGUCAUACCUAAAAGCAUUAAUUCUCGAUAGGUGUAUGCGGAGGUUAUGUAAUAACCUCGAUCAUAUCACAUCAUUAUUCAUCAUCACUUUUAUUGUAUUUCAUUCAUUUAUACAUCUUCAGUGUUGGGCUUCUGGAUUUUUAUCUGAUGCAUGCCUUUUUUAUUUCUUUUACAUAUCUAUUUUCCUAUUUGUGUGCUAUAUAUAGAACUGUUAGUAAAGAUGGUGUGAGCUACCAUUUUGGGACUUUCUUUAUUUGUAGGAGAUGUGCUUAUAGUGUGUAUGUAUAUUGUUUAUUUUCUACUUUUCUCAGUUGGAUACCUACGGAGAACAAGUGGAAUAUACUCAUCUCUGUUGUAUUAUUUUGGUGCAGAAAUCGGUAUGAGUGUGCCUCACGAUUGCUAAUUUUAGGCGGUGAUUUGAUACAUUUGAGGUAGUGGCCACUCUAUGCUUCUAGAGCUGACAUCCUACACCACCAUAUCUAGUUUAUGUCCUAUUUUGUAUUCAGAGAUCGAAUUGUGUUUCAUUUUUAAUUAUCAAUUGUAUUUUUAGACUUUAAGUUGUAUGUAAAUUGUUCUUACACUAUGACACCAGGUUUUAGGAUGAUUUAUGGUAUGAUUGUGAUUUUAACUUUCGCUAUCUUUAUGCACGUAUGGUUUAAUUUCAAUCUAGAAGUCUUGCCUUGGGAUUUGUGUUGUAAUUUUCAUUUACAUAUUAGUUUGGGUGAUUGACCUACUUACUAAGUCUUAGCUGUGAUAAGUGCAAUCAUGACCUGAGUUUUUGGGUCGUGGCAAAUUGGUAUCAGAGUAGCCAAGUUCGUCGGUCUCAUCAGUUUAAGAAUAAAGUGUCUAGUAGAGUCUCUCCAAUUGAUAUGUAGAUAUUUUUAUCUAUCUUUGAGAGGCUAUAAGAUAUAUUUAGGAAACUUCCCUUAUUUUGUUCCUUAUCAUGUGGGUUUUUCCAUACCUUAUAUUCUAAAUUGAGUUUCACUCUUCUCUAUGCAACUGAUGGAUAAGAUUUAGUGAGACUAUAGAUGCAAAACUAACACCCAAAGAGAGAGCCCAGCCUAGGGGAAGAUUCAAUGGUCGUGGAUGGUCUUGAGGUAGAGAAAGGGGAUGAGAGUUUGCAUCUUUGAGAGCUAGUACUAGGGGGAUCUCCCCUGAGCCCAAGGUUGAGCAUACUAGAGAUAUGGGUCCUACUUAGGUUCCACAAAGUUCUUCCAACCCAUAUUAAAGGGUUUUUUUAAUUCAUUUGCUGACUCAUUUGUAGGGUGUUCCUUUGAGGCAUACCUGGUAUUCCUCCAGCUCCGAGUGUUGUACCUCCAUCUGUGCCAAAGUUUGCUACUAGUGUUCCUCCAAUCUGAGUAUAAUUCCUUCAUCGAUACCGAUAUUUACUCAUUGUAUUAUGUAGGCUCUAAGUACUAUUCCUUUUUUGGUAUCAGUAUUCGAGCAUGGUAUAAUAAGCCUGGGGUUCACCCUUCACAUAUGUUACUCCCUUAGGUGGGAUCACAGCCGGCCAGAUUCACUAUGCUUCCUAUUUUUAUGUGUACAAUUAUGUAUUCUGAGGAUUAGAAAAGGUUUGAUAGAUUUACUCUCUUGGUUCCCUCAAGUUUAGUGGUGUUGUGGGCUAGGAUGCCUGUGAGUUCUUAAUUGAUUGCUAGAAAAAGUUGUAUAAUCUUGGCUUGAGUUGCAUGGGGUUGCUUAUGCUACCUACCAAUUGAGAGAUACAGUUAGGGAUUGGUUGAGGUCACUUGUUAGUUGUGGACCCCUUGGUUCACCAAAGAUGACUUGAGAUCAGUUUACUAAGGCUUUUUAGGACAGUUUUAUGCCAUACAGUCUGAGGGGUUAGAUGAAAGACGGGUUUGAUCAUUUUAAGUAGGGCUUCAUGACUAUUGCCGAGUAUGAGGCAUGUUUUCAUGCCUUCUCCAUAUAUUUUAUUUCUAGUAUUACAACGAGUCUGAAAAGAUUCAAAAGUUUUAUAAGGGAUUGAAUGCUUAACUUCAGAUGGCUACUACCUAGAAGGUAGUGUCAAGGGCAUUGUUUUAGAGUAUCUUGGGUCAUGCAAAGAUGAUCGAUUCUAUCCUUAGAGUUUCUAAGGGAGGUGAUAGAGGUUGAUCCAUCAAGGUGAGUUCAUUGGCCACACCCCUCGAGGUAGAUAUUUAAAAGGUUCCUAUGGGUACUUUGGUGAACUACUUUCCCAAAAAUCAAGCUAGCGUUGACUAUCCUUAGCCAGAUACGAGCCUCUCUAUUUAGAAAAACAUAUGGGAAGGUAUUGUGGUUUCCUUUGUCCUUGUAAUGGAACCACCGCGCCAUAGAGCUCUAUAGAAAGGCCUGCUGUAUAAUUCCUUUAACCUAGAAUGAUCCACAUUCAGAGUACCCAAGAAAGAGUUAAAAAACGUGGCCGUCAGAUAUAGGAUUUGCCCUCGAAUCUUAACUUCAUUCCUGCGGAUAUUUGGGGACCAAUUAGCAUAAAAAUCCCUAGUCCAAUCUAGAUUACAUUCACCCAUGUCUUCGAAAAUAAAGUCAAGUUUUAGUUCUGUGAUCCAAGCCAGAAUAUGAGGGCAGUGCCUCGCCAAACUCUCCCUUUGAAUAAGCUCUAGUGGUACGUAUCUAUUUACUUUGUUAUCCUUGUACCACUCCUGGCCAUCCUCUAAGACCCAUUUAAUACCAAAAGUGCUUUGAGGCCCUGGAAGAGAGAAUGAGAUGGGUUUCUCCUUUCAUGCUCGUUUCUAUCCCUUUUAAGAUAUGGAUGCUUUGUCUUGGCCAUUGCUUUCUUUGGGAGCCAUAUCACCUGAGUGCAUCAUAUAAUCAUAUUAGCCACACUUAAUCAAAACUUACUACAAUUAAGAAGAGGGUGGUGAAAUCACCACCCCACACUUAAUUUGUUAAGAUAAACCAAUUAAGUGGUAAUGUCAGGUACUCAGACUUUGCCGACAUACACUUUGACCUUGGGUGCCAACAUUAUUAGCACAUUUUCAACUCACAUGGUGAUUUUUCUUUUUCUUUUGCAAGUCACAAUUUCACUCCAUAAACCUUCACAUUCCACAACUAUAUGGCAAUUCAAAUUAACACACAAUUGGUGCACUAAAUCAAUUUCUAUUAACACCACCAAUUACACCAAUUUUACUUCAAUAAAGUAAUUAUUGAACAAAAUUAUCCUUUACAACUUCAACAUAUCACAAUACCCAAACAUCAUCACCCUCCCACACUUUUUAUCAACAUCAUGUUCAAUAAAAUAAGACAUGCAAUAGUGGUUACAUAACUACCAUGUUCGUUGUGAACAAUUCAUUCACAUGUACAAGCACAAAAUACUACAAAAUAAUGCCUUAAAUCUUCUACACCUAAAUACCCACAAGACACCAUGACUUAGACAAAACAACCAACAACAUAUUCGGAGGUAAAAUUAAGAUCCACAAUAAUGAUGGUUUCCACAAUAAUGGUGUUCAUCAUCCCCAAGAAUUUCAAAACUACUUUUACAAAGCUAUGGCAAGAAUUUAAUCUAUAAUCCUCAAGAAAUCAAUUAACUAUACAUAAAUUCACAAUAACUAAGGAUUAAAAAAGUAAAACUUACCUUUGAAGAUGGAAGAUUUGGAAAAUAAGGGGAAAAUUCUUGAGAUUGUUAAGCAAAGAGUAAUCUUAAAGGACAAAGAAAAUGGUGAGAGAGAAAUUUUGUAUGGCUUAAGGGUGAAAUAAGGAUGAAUUUGGGCAUUUAAGGUGUGGAGUCUAUUUAAAGAAUGAAAUCUGGGUCGGGUUGACCCAAGUUAAAAUCAGAUACUAUGUUGAAAUUUGAGUGGUGUGCAACACAUAUGUUAUCGUAAAGUCCUAAGUGUGCGUCGCACAUGGAAUCGCCUAACCAAAAUAGUGUGCAUGUGCGGUAUAGUUAGCGUCACACAUGGUAUCACACAAGGGUAAGUAUACAGCACAUACGGCAUCGCCUAACCCAAACAGUGAGAAUGUGCAGUAUGGUUGGCGUCGCACAUGUUAUCGCAUAAGUUUAACUAUGCGGCGUACAACCUAUCGCUUACAUUAACUUAGGUGUCGUAUAAAUAGUCACCAACUUGAACCAGUGAGGGUGUGCGGCUGGGUAAACGAGAUACAAGCAAUCGCCUAAAUAAAGUGUGCGGCGCACAUCCUGCCGCUCAAGUUAAGUUAGGUGUCACACAAGGCAACGCCUAUGCGAGGCAGUGGGCUUAAGCUAAGUAUUAGGUGACGCCUUUGCCAUGGCCUAUGUAAAUUUAGGAGUCACACACCCUAUAGUACACUUAAACUUAGACACCAUUCACCCCAUUCUCCAUAUGAGGCAUAAUUUGAGUCACAACUCUCACACGAAUAGUGAAUAGAGCCUUAACAUUUUGACCACUCCAACUUACCAGCAAUGUUCCCGUUACUCCAAAAUUUACCACCUUUAAUAUGGCUCACUUUCAAAUAGAAUUUAGAACCUAUCAACUCUUUAGAGCUUCAAACACCUACACUUAGUCAAAAAUAAUUAAAAAUGAUUAGAAGGGUGGGUUGCCUCCCACCAAGAGCCAUAGUUUCAGUAAUGGCUUGACUCUUAUUUUCUUGUAUUUUUGUUUUACAUAUAAAAAUCAAAGUAUAAUCAUGGGUUGCCUCCCAUGUAGCACCUGAUUUAUUAUUGCGGCACGACUCAGUUAUCUUGAUUACUCAGACUUCAUCGAGAUAGAUAGUAGCAAUACUUUUUAUUAUGUCUUUUGGACCGAUAUAAAGUUUGACUUGUUGCCCAUUAACUUUGAAGACGAUUCUAUCUUCAUUUUCAAGUUUGACUACUCCAGAUGAGUAGACUUGACUCACUUUAAAUGGGCCUGACCACUUGGAAUUAAGUUUACCUAGGAACAAUUUGAGUCUGGAGUUGAACAGAAGCACCAAGUCACCUUUCUGGAAAUCUCAUUCUUCAAUCCUCCGAUCAUGAUACUUCUUCAUCUUCUCCUUGUAUAGGUCUUCCCUUUCAUAAGCCCCAAGAUGGAAUACGUCCAUCUCAUUCAGUUAUGCCAGUCUUAGCUUCACUGCCUCCUUCCAAUUCAGAUUUAAUCUUUUGAGUGCCCAUAAAGCCUUAUGCUCCAGCUCUAUCAGUAAGUGACAUGCUUUACCAUAGACUAACUAAUAUGGUGACAUGCCAAUGGGUUUCUUGAAAGCAGUACGAUACGUCCAUAAGGAUCCUCGAGAUUUCAAGACCAAUCUUGCCUACUAGCAUUCACCGUUUUGCCUAGGAUGGAUUUAAUCUCCUGAUUCGAAACCUCCACUUGCCCACUAGUUUGUGGGUGAUAUGGAGUUUAUACUCUAUGCUGUUUCACCCCAUAUUUCACAAAGGCAGCUCGAAACACUUUGUUGCAAAAAUGAGAUCCUCCAUCUCUUAUAAUAGUACAUGGUACUCCAAAGCGAGAGAAGAUGUUCUUUUUGAGAAACACAACAACUCUCUUUCCUUCAUUAUCAGCCAAGGAAAUGGAUUUAACCCAUUCAAUACAUAAUCAUAAGAAACUAGAAUGUAUUUCAUUCCAUAGGAGCUUACAAAAGGGCCCAUAAAAUCGAUGCCCCAGACAUCAAAUAGUUCUACUUCCAGCAUCUUCAUGAAAGGUAUGUCACACCGCUUAGAGAUUGACCCCUUCCUCUGACAUUGGUCACAACUUAGAAUGAACUCAUGAGCAUCCUUGAAUAAAUUUGGCCAAUAAUAGACACUCUGCAACAUCUUUCUAGCAAUUCGAUCACCUGCAUGGUGACCUCCGACUGGGGAAGCAUGACAUGCUUCCAAUAUACUCUAUACAUCUACUUCUGGCACACAUCUCCUUAUAAUAUUGUAAGCAUACCACCGAAAUAAAUACGACUCAUCGCAAAAGUAAUGUCUCACAUCAUGAAGGAAUUUCAUUCUUUGAUGAAAAGAAAGAUUUUUUUGGGAUCAACUCGCUUACCACAUAGUUUGCAAAAUCAGCGUACCUAGGUAUUUUCUCCAUAAUAGCAGCCAAGAUCUCUUCAUCCAAAAAUGCAUCAGUGAUCUCCAUUUUAUCUCUAACUACUUGCUCACCUUCCAUCCUAGACAGAUAAUCUGCAACUUAGUUUUCACAACCCUUUCUAUCUUUGACUUCAAAGUCAAAUUCUUGGAGUAGCAACACCCAUCUAAUAAACCUUGGUUUUGCGUCCUUCUUAGCCAUCAAAUAUCUCAAGGCUACGUGGUCAAUGUGGACCACCACCUUGGUUUCUAUGAAAUAAGCCCAAAAUUUCUCAAAAGCAUAGACUACAGUAAGGAGUUCCUAUUCGGUGAUGGUGUAGUUCUUUUGAGCUCCAUUCAAUGCUUUACUGGCAUAAUAGGUUGGAUGAAUUUAUCCUUCUUUUUCCCCAACAUAGCUCCAAGGGCCACACCGCUUGCAACACAUAUGAUCUCAAACGGUUUCAAUCAAUCUGGUGUAACAAUGAUAGGGGCUUCAACCAACUUCUUUUUAAGGCAUUCGAAUGCCUUCAAGCAAUCAUCAUCAAAGAAGAACUUAGCUUCCUUCUCCAAAAGUUUGCAAAGUGGGUUUGCAAUCUUUGAGAAGUCCCUUAUAAACCUCCGGUAAAUGCCAGCAUAUCCAAGGAAACUACAUACUUUCUUCACAGAAAUGGGAGGUGGUAGAUUCUCAAUAACCUCCACCUUGGAUCGAUCUACCUCUAUCCCUUUUGCUAAAAUUUUGUGCUCAAGAAAAAUGCCCUCUUUUACCAUAAAGUGGCAUUUCUCCCAAUUGAGCACCAAAUUGAAUUACACAAAUCAUUGUAAGGCCCUACUCAGGUUUGCUAAACACAACUCAAAUGAAUCUCCUACCACAGAAAAAUCAUCCAUGAACACCUCUAAGGUAUCCUCCACCAUAUCUGAAAAAAUAGACAUCAUACACCUUUGGAAGGUAGUAGGUGCAUUACAUAACCCAAAUGACAUUCUCUUGAAUACAAAAGUGCCAUACGAUUAUGUAAAUGUCACAACCCAAAUGACACCCUCUUGAAUACAAAAGUUCCAUACGGAUAUGUAAAUAUCGUCUUCUCCUGAUAUUCAGGAGAGAUAUAGAUCUGAUUGUAUCCAGAAUAGCCAUCCAAAAAGCAAUACCACCCUAUUCCUGCCAAUCGAUCGAGAAUUUGAUCCAUAAAGGGGAUUCGGAAGUGAUCCUUUAAGGUCCAUGAGUUUAGUUUGCGAUAGUCCAUGAAAACCCUCCACCCAGUUACAAGACUGAGAGGAAUCAACUCAUUGUUUUCAUUUGCAACAACAGUCAUGCCCCCUUUCUUGGGUACACAUUGAACUGGGUUUACCCAUUUACUAUAGGGAAUAGGAUAAACCACUCCUAUGUCUAUCCACUUAAUAAUUUUAUUCCUAACCACCUAUUUCAUCGAUGGGUUAAAUCGGUAUUAAUGCUCGAUGGUUAGAGUAUAAUCUUUCUCAAGUUGUAUCUUAUGAGUACAAAUGCUAGAGAAAAUGCUAAUAAUAUCAGCAACAGUCCAGCCUAUUACUCUUUUGUACUUUUGAAACACCAAAAUAAGUUAUUCCACCUACUGCUCACCCAAAUCAUCAAUAAUAAUCACGGGUAAUGUGCUUCCAUUGCCCAGAAACACAUACCUUAAAUGCCCUAGCAGAUCUUUCAAUUCCAACAGUAGUGGCUCUUCAAUGGAUGGCUUCUCCGGUGGUGUUGGUCGAUUCUUAAGAUCAAGAUCUAGCUUCUUAGGAGCAUAAGAGUAUGAUCCUAUUCCUAUCAAAGCACAAAAAGUCUCUUCAUACUCCUCAAUGCCUUCACGAUUAAAAUUCAUAAGCAUUGCGGCUAGAGGCUCGACUGCAAAUUUCUCCUCUAUUGGCACCUCCUGCUCAUCCUUAUAAUAUACAACAACAGUUAAGAACAUAUUCAUUUCUUUAUGCUGCUUCAUUGAUUAGAACACAUCAAAGCACACCACUUCAUCAUUUAUCCUAAAUAAGAGCUCAUUAACUUACAAAUCAAUCAGCACACUUUCAGUUGUGAGGAAAGGUCGACCCAAGAUUAUGGGCACCUCGAAGUCCACCUUGGAAUCCAGAAUUAUGAAAUCUGCAGGAAAUUUAAAUAUCAUAUAAAAUAUUAAUAGGUCAUUUUACCGACCUAUCCUCCAUUACAAAUCGCAUGUUGGUGGGUGUGGGGUCUCCCAAACCUAGCUUUUUAUAAAUAUCUAGCGACAUCAGAUUAAUGCUCGCUCCCAGAUCACAUAAGUCCUUAUCAAAUUCCUGAGACCCAAUCGUACAAGGAAUAGUGAAUGCUCCUGUGCCUGCCUUUUUCUGCACCAAGGACCUUGUAUAAAUAACACUACAAUGAUGGAGAUUAUCCAUCGGUUCAUUACUCACCGCUCUUUUCUUCGUCAUAAGAUCCUUCAUAAAUUUGUCAUAUCCUGGCAUUUACUCAAGUACCUCUACCAAAGGCAUAUUUACUGUCAACUGCUUCAACAUUGCCAUGAACUUACUAAACUUUAUAUCGUCAGCCUUCUUCUUCAAUCUCUGAGGGAAAGGAGGUGGUGAUUUUGGGAGAGUCUUCACCACUACUUCUUUUUCCUUCUCUUUCCAUAGUUCCACCUCAUCAACCUAUUGAUAAUUGGAAGGGAUUUCAAUUUUUUAGUCUUCACUGGAUUACCUUCUUCAAGAUCAACAUCUUCUUUGAUCAUUUCUUCAUUCACAGCUUUGCCCCAAAAAGGGCCUGUUAAAACCUUACCACUAUGUAUGGUAAUAGCCAUGCAUGAUCCAUCAUUUCGAGGGUUAUGAAUUAUAUCACUUGGUAGCGUUCCACUCUUUCUCUGAUUCAAUACUGCAAAGAUUUGGCUCACUUGUAGUUCCCACUGCUUAAUCAAAGUGGAGUACGAGUUUACCAACUAACUCAUAGAAUACAAAUCGGUCUUCAUGGUAGUCACCCCAAAGUUGGUGGCCUCAACUCCCUUUAACAAUUUCUCCAUCAUGUCCUCCAUGGACAUCUUGCCAGAGCUAGUUGUAGCAUUAUCUCUACUUCUAUGAGGUACAUAUAGCCCACUUUUAUCAUUCUUGCUCUUCCAGUUUCCUUGAUCCUAGUCCUUAUGUCCAGCCUUGUCGUAGUAAGUCCAACCUUAAUUUCCUUGGCUAUUGCCUCAAAAAUCCCCCUGGUUAUUCAAAUAGUUAGCCUCUUCUUCUGAAUCUGAAUCAUCUCUACUUUGAGAUACAACAACUUUCACUUUUUCUAUUUUUGCAGAUAAUAAGUACUUGGUCAACAAAUCCAUCUGUGUCUUUAAGUAUGUCAUGUCUUGAUCGCGUUCUUCCUAUUUGUUACGUUAUUCUGCAGUCAUGCCAAUAGAAAUAGUAAGGCUUGCUACCACAGGAUCCCUGGUAUGCCAAGCUAUACUUUGUUUGAUCAUUCGAUCAAACAUUUUUGAGCCCUCUUGAAAAGUGAGAUCCACAAAUGAUCCCCCUGCAGCAUUACCAACAACUGGCUUUUGUAAUAGAGUUCAAAGCCCGAUAAAGAGUCUUCGUCAGAUGAAUAUCUGUCAUAUUAUGGUUCGGGCACUGCAUCAGCUUCUUUUUGAAACUCUCUCAUGUCUCGUAAAGAGAUUCAAUUGGGAGCUGCCUAAAGUUACUGAUAUCAUCCCUUAACUAUACCCUCCUGGAAGGCGGAAAAAACCUUUCUAGGAAAUCCUCUUUCAAUUGCCUCUAGUUGGUUAUAGAAUCGGGCAUCAGCUCAUUAAGCCACAAGGUUGCCUCCCCAGAUAGAGACAACAGAAAUGAACACAGGCAGAUGGAAUUUUGUCCCACUCCCAAGUUAUCAAAGGACUUGUAAAUAGUGACAAAGUUCACUAAAUGCAUAUUGGGAUCAUCCCCCCGGGAGUCCACCUAACAGCCCCUUUAGGUGGAGGAGUUGAAUCAUCAUCCUUGUAAUAUUAAACUUAGCUCCGAGUGCCAACGGUGGGGGAAUAAUAGCUCCAUUGCACCUGCACCAUCCUUUCAAUCAUCAUCAUCAUUAAGAUUAAAUUGCACAGCUUGGCGAUCAGGUCUCUCUCUAAAAGGAUGAUUUCUGUUUAUAUUUCUGUUCAUUGGUGCAGCUAUAUCCUCUAUACACCUUUGAUUUACUAGACCCAACAAAUCAUCAUCUCCUAGGUCCUCUUCAUCUAGAUUAGGUACUCGAUCUGGGUUAUUAGCAUACUAUUGAUUUAAUUGAGCAUUACCCAAAGUGGCUAAUCUUUCAGCUUCCUGUUGGUUAGCCUUCUUUUAAUGAGAUGCGGUUCAGGAUUGAAGGGUAAUAAUGGUUCUCCUGAACUUCUGAUUCAUGGCGUAAACAACAAUGAACCUGUAACAAACAAAAACAACAAAUAAACGUAAAAUUAAGAAACUAGACUAAUAGUCAGUUAACACACAUAAACUUAAUUGACAAUCGUACUCCCCGACAACGGUGCUAAAAUUUGAUAUAACCAAAUUACAACUUUCUUACGAAAGUGUAAACGAUUGUUGUCAAAUAUAUAACCCAACUAGGUUAGGAUCGAAUCUCAUAGGGAAUAGGGUGCUAAUUAAGUUGUAUGUAGAUUAGUUGACUUUUAAUCAUUUGUUCCCGUAAAGCAAUAGGGUUUUUUUAUUUAAGUACGAAGUAAUAGUUUCAAUGUAAUAGUGAAGCAAUCCGUGUAAUAAUCUUUGAAUUUAGAGAAUAACAAGCUAGGGUUAUGUCCACCUUGUAGUUUUUAAUAUUUUCUUACUAAGGGUGUUAAAAAUUCAUACAUGCAUGCACUUAUAGAGAAACGUAUUCAAAUUCUCAAUCCAAGCGUUUCUCAACUAUCAAGGAUUAAUUCACUUUAGUUCUCUUGACUCAAAAGUGUUUACUCAAUUAUAUGAAAUCUCCAAGUUGUUAAUCCUGUUAAGGCAUUAACGUGUGAAAUACAGGUUGGAAAUCCUAUUUUCUUGUCACUACUCUUUUUCCUAAACGUUAGCCUUUCUAUCGAACAAGUUAUGUUUCAAUGGCACAUUCCCUGUCUUUGCAACCACGAGAAUUCAAGCAUAAUGAAGAGAGUAUGAUAUAAGUAAAUCAAUGCAUAAUGAAUUCAAAACCCAUAGAAAUAGAUAGUAUGCUACAAGAUUUCCAUAACCCUAACCAAUAAGCUUAGAUACUCAUGGACAAAAUGAAAAUCACCAUAAUUAUGUAUCACACAAAAACUAGAAGACGAUCUUGGUGUAUAAACAAUGAACCAAAAGAAAAAUAUUUUUCUCAACUCUAAGCUGCCAGUCUCCUUUCAAAAAUAAUACAGAAUAUCCAAUAAUGAUAACAAUUCAGCAUCAAGUCUUUUUAAUAAUCUUUUCUCUCAUAAUUGCCUUCUAAGUCCCUGAACUAAUUAUAAAUGACAAAUUAGUCUUAGACAUAGUUUUUAGGCGCCAUAUUUGGUCCAACAAGCUACUUUUCUCUUGUGUGAUUUGUCAUCUGCAAUCCGUAGUUCCAUCAUGUCUUUAUCUACCCCAUUAACACCUGAAAUCAUGCUAAUCACAUAGGUUAGCUCAAUUACAUCAAAGUAGAGGUAAAGCAUAAGAAACUAGGCACUUUGUUCUCAAAACUUAGCCAAAAUAUGGGUAAGUUAUGGUGCUUAGAUGUUUAAAUACACCCAAGAUCAGUGUGAUAGAUGCAAUAAAAGUUAAGACUUUUAGAGACAAGAAGGAAGAGGUGAUGGGUGACGACCUAGGGAUGACACCUAAGAAGUCGGAGGUUUUCCAUCUUGCCCUACAAGAUCAAGAUGGGAAUCGAGGUUGGAACUAAAAAAAUAAACAUUGUACAUCUUGAAGAGAAAUAGGAGAUUGAUAGAGAGAUUUUGGAGAAAAUUUUAAGUAAUAUUGAGAGGACCAGAGAAAUGGUAAAUGAAAUACAAAGUGAAUUCUCAACGCUCCACCAAAUAGUUGUAUCUCACUCAUCCACUAUUCAACAACUCGAGGCAAAAGUGAGCGAAAUAUCAAAGUAUUUAAUGGAAAGGAAUAAUGAAGAAACACAAAAUGGGGAUGCAUUAAAAUCAAAGUGAAAAAGGCCCAAUGUUGAGGAGUCAAAGUUAAAAGAGUCAUUGAUAAGGAAGCCUAUUAAUAACGAGUGUCAAAUUGUUUCUAUUCCUCUAACUCCCAUGAAUCCACCUUUCAAAAAAUGGUCAUUAAGGAAGGGAAAGCAUGAUAAACUCAAUAAUAUCUUUAAUAAGUUUAGCAACCUCUCUAUUAAUAUCCCUCUUAUUGAGGUAUUACAAGACAUGCCGAGGUAUGCUAAAUUUAUUAAAGAUUUGGUGUCAAAAAAUAUUGUGGAGGAGGAAACCAUAGAGAUUACUCACCAUUGUAGUACCAUCAUGACAAGUGUGUAUGUUGAAAAGAGAAAGGAUCCCUGUGCCUUUACAAUCUCAUGCACCAUUGGCACUUUCAUGUUUUCUAGGGCAUUGUGUGACCUUGGGGCAAGUGUGAACCUCAUGCCUUACGCGAUAUUUCACAAACUUGGGUUGGGUAAUCCAAAACCCACCAAAAUCAAGUUGCUUAUGGUUAAUCGAUCCAUUAAGAAACCUAUUAGGAUCCUCUAUAAUGUUCUAGUAAAAGUAGACCGGUUCAUUUACCCGCCCGACUUUGUUAUUAUGGAUUGUUCCAUGGAUGUGGACAUUUUCAUUAUCCUUGGGAGGACAUUUUUGGAUACCAGGAAUGCAUAGGUAGAUAUAGAGGCCGAGGGAAUCAAGUUUAAAUUAGAUGGUGAAUUGGUACACUUCAAUAUAUGCAAGACUAUGAAACAACUAAUGGACCAACAAGUCAUCUUGGUAAUCAAUGUGGUUGAUGGCGAGGUGUCUAACUAUGUCGAUGUAAGCUUGUUGAAUAACCCGUUGGUUGGGGUGCUUCAGAAUUAUGAAAGGGAAGAAGUAAAGGAGUAUGACGAAGUGGUAGCUUCUCUCACCAGGCUUGGGUUUCAUAGCAAGAACCCAGCUAAGUUAGAUCUUGACAUUAAAAAUUGCAAAAGUCCACCCGCCAAACUAUCCAUCCUAGAACAUCCCAAAAUUUAACUACAUCCCUUACUACCUCAUCUCAAAUACAUGUUCUUAAGGGGGAUGGGACUUUGUCGAUCAUUGUUGCUAGUGACCUAAAUUUCUCUCAAGUAGAAGCAUUAAAGUUAGUGGUAAAAAAUCAAUUUGGGCCAUCGAAUGGACGAUAGUAGACCUCAUUGAAAUAUCUCUCGAUUUAUGAUCACAUAAAAUUAAACUCGAGAAAAAUCACAUACCAAGUUUGGAGCACCAAAGAAUAUCAAACCAACCCAUGCAAGAGGUGGUGAAAAGGAGAUUAUAAAGUGGCUUGAUGCAGGAGUGAUCUAUACUAUAUCUAAUAGCACGUGGGUAAGCCCCGUGCAAUGUAUUUCGAAGAAAGGUAGAAUCAAGGUGGUCGAGAAUGACUAAAAUGACCUCAUCCCCAUUCGACCAAUCACCGGAUGGCGAGUGUGUAUGGACUACCAAAAAUUAAACUCAUUGACCGAGAAGGACCAUUUUCCAAUGUUGUUUAUAGAUCAAAUAUUAGAUAAAAUUGCAGGAAGAGAGUGGUAUAUCUUUUUGGAUGGGUACUCUUUAUACAAUUAAAUUUGUAUCACCCCAUAGGACCAAGAAAACAAAACCUUUACAUGCCCAUUUGGGACGUUCGCAUUUAAGAGAAUGCUAUUUGGAUUGUGUAAUGCCCCGACAAUCUUUCAAUGUUGCAUGUUGUCCAUAUUUUCUUACUUGGUUGAAGACACUAUAGAAGUAUUCAUGGACGACUUCUCAGUAGUGGGAAAUUCUUUCGAGACAUGCCUCUAACACUUGAAUAAAGUGCUUGAAUGGUGCAUGGAAACAAACCUUGUCUUGAAUUGGGAGAAAUGUCAUUUCACUGUAAAAGAAGGAAUUGUAUUAAUCCACAAGAUUUUGGGGAAAGGCAUUCAAGUUGAUCAAGCUAAAGUUGAGGUAAUUGCCAAACUUCACCAAGUCAAAGUAGAUCAAAGUAGAUCAUUCUUUUUAAAACGGAGGGAGUACUUUAUUGUGAUAAUAAGUUCCACUUUAAUACUAUAUGUGUUGGGAUUCGAUUAACGAAAAUACAUUUAAAUGUGAAACUUUAUAUUGUCCCCUACCCCCAUCUCUAUAAAAGGUGUUGAAAGUUUUCUUGGCCAUGCCGGGUUCUAUCAUCGUUUCAUCAAGGAUUUUUCCUAGAUAGUACAUCCUAUGUGUAAGUUUCUUGAGAAAGAGUCCAAGUUCAACUUUGAUGAAUCAUGUCUCAAAGCCUUCGAGUAUCUUAAGGAAUUUCUCAUUUCAGCACCAAUUAUUGUGGCUCUAGAUUGGUCAUCCCCAUUUAAGGCAAUGUACAAUGAAUGUGGUAUUACAUUGGGUGUGGUGCUAGGGCAAUGAAAGGACAAGCCUUUUCAUCCUAUUUACUACGCGCAAAACUUUGAAUAAUGCCCAAUGCAACUACACCGUCAUUGAGCAAGCAUUAUUGGUAGUGGUUUAUGCCUUUGAGAAGUUUUGAGCUUAUUUUUUAAGCACAAAGGUAGUGGUACACGGACCAUUCCACUCUUAAGUAUCUCAUGGCCAAGAAAGAAGCAAAACUGCGGUUAAUUAGUUGGAUUUUUGUAAUCCCCUGAGUUUGUACCCCAAACUCUACACGGUGCUUACAACCUCGAAGGACCACAAGCUAAACCAUGACUGAUAUCUGCUGUGAGCAUUGAAUAAUAUACUAAAAUAAAUACAAAAUAAUAGGCUGAAAUAUCGUAAGGUUCAAAAUUUGUAAAUACUGAUAAAAUGUAACAACUGAAAUAACAAUUUAUAAAAUUGAACAUUGUCUGAAAACUGGCCUGAAAAGCCUCUAACUAAACUGUCUAAAAGUGGAGUUGAUGGGACAAGCCCCCAACUAACCCAAAAUACUAAAACUAUUAAAAAUCUAAAAUAAAAUAAUAUCAUCGAAUGAUGAGGACUUACUGCUAAAUCUGCUACUGACUGAAUCUGGAUCUAUCUAUGCGUGAUCAGGAACCUGAGUGUCCAAACCAAUGAUAUGAAACAUCAUAGUGUAAGAAAGAGUAUACGUCAGUACGUGGGAAUGUACUGGUAUGCUAGAUGGGGUAAGGCUGAAUGCAAGGGUUCAUAUGCAUGAAUAAUAACUGACUGCUUGAUAUAAAGUAACUGAACAUGAGAGUACAUGGAUAACUGAUACUACUACAGUUACUGAGUGUGCACUAAUGUGCAUAUAAAUAAAUGUUGUGACUAAGAUUGUCUGAAGCUAAGUCCUAAAUUCUAAUACGGAGUAACUGAUAUUUAAAGUUACUAAUAACUGAUUUACUGAUACUAGUUGACUGUAUCUGAUAGUCUUGAUUUUGUAGAAUUGAACUGAGUAUUAUUCUAAAGACUGAGACUAAAAUUGUGAGAGGUAAUCAUCUAACCGAUAUGAUCCAAAUAAGAUAAGAUAACUAAGUUGGGUCCAAUCUAUAACCCCAAUUAGAAAGGUGUCAAUACUGUGCCAUGGGUAGGGAUAAGCUGAGAGUUACCCUCAUCUGGCGGGUACUCUAAUGAGAAUGGUGGAACCCUCAACUGGCAGGUUUGAUGUCUCAACCUAUGCUGGCUACAUAGUUCUGGAAUGCAAGGAUUGCUUCUAAGGAUCACACCCUCUACUAGCAGGUGAGCCCCCAUCCUUGGGUUCACUCGGUGCUGAAUCCUACUCCCAACUGAAAGACUCUGAACUAAGCAUACUAAACUAUACUGGACCGAGACUGAGUUUACUAAGCUUUCCUGAAUUCUAUAACUGAUUGAGAAUACUAUUGAUCGUGACAUGACUGAGAUUCUGUAACUGACACUGGCUCUAGGUAAAUAGCUAAAUUAUCAAGUAAUAAAUACCCCCAGGACUCGAUAGCAUGAAAAGUAAAGCAUAGUAUAAUCUUGAAUAACAUGAAAUUUUUCACUUGUUCAUAAUUCAUCCAUAGAGACUUUUUAUCAAACACUUGUCAGGCUUCUACUUAUUCAUGAAGAGGGAACACAUGGUAUCAGGUUAUAAUGACACUAAUUCAUUCACAUAGGCAUUUUAUCAAACACAUGGGGAGCAUGCUUAGGUUAUACAACAAUCAACACACAUAGUUAUCAUAGCUACAUCAAUCAACUUGUAAAUUGAAGAGGUUUACUAAGAAGAUUAUGUAAUUCAACACAUAUAAUGAUUAAUUUCAUGAAAUCUUGUAAUUUAACUAUAGAUAAAAACCCAACAAUAAUAUGAACAUGAAUUCAAUUUAAUUCAAGCAUGGAAGUUCAUAACUCAACAAUCUUAUAGUUUAAAAAUGGAUUUGUGGACUCUAUUGGUGGAAUGGACCCAUAGAUGAACACCUAACAUACCUUGAAAUGUUAAUUCUUGAAGGUUCUUAGAGAAAUUCUUGAGAUUUGUUCUUGAAUUUUGAAACUAGGGCUUCUUGCUUUUGAGAGAGAAUGAUGUACUUUGGGGAAAAUUGAGUGCAUAAUGAUAUAUUUUGGUCAUUUAGGAAUUAAUUUCAUGUUUAAGGUUGAUCUGGGUCAUGGAAAAAUUCUAAGUUGCCCUUGGGAUUUAAAAUCUCGCAACUGGAAUGUCAAUUAACGCCUCACGUGACACGGUGAAUGGGUUAUCUCUAUAUCCAUUAUGACGUGGUGGAAUUGCGGUGACUCUCUGGAUGGUGAUAAUUGCUAUUUUAGAGUUCACCGCGACGUGGAACAAUCGCGGUAACCCUCUGGAAAUUGACAAAUACCAAAAUAGCCUUCAACACGAUGUGAUAGAGUGCUCAUCGCAAUACUCACCGUGAUACGACCAAAUUGCGGUGAGCCACUAUUUUUACAUAAACUCCCCUAACUCUUCGCCCGGGUAUCAGAUUUGGGGGAAUUUUAUAUCGUUGGAAAGCUGACUGAAUUUUCUACGCAUUGGCAGGUGCUAAACUAAAAAAUUAUGAGUAUUUCAUAAAUUUUAUAUAGGAUAACUCAUGUACUUAGAGCUAAGUUAAGCUCUAGGAAUUUGGUGUAUUACAAUUUUGUUGCUAUAAGAGUUCAACUUUGAGGUGAAAGACCAAAAAGGAUGUGAGAAUCAAGUGGACGAUCAUCUCCCACAUCUAGAAAGCAACAUUAAAAAGCAUGGGGAGAUAGAAAUUGAUAAUGCUUUUCCCGAUGAGUUAAUUAUGGCCAUCGAGGGGAAAGGUACACCAUGUUAUGCAGACUUUACCAACUAUGUCAAGAGCGGUGUACUCCCCAAGGGACUAGGCCAUCAUUAAAAAAAUGAUUUCUAUUUGAUGCGAAGUGAUGUUUCUUGAAUAAGCCAUUUUUAUUUCGAGAAUGUUCUGAUGGAGUUAUUAGGCGGUGUGUCAAGGACUUUGAAAUAAAUGACAUCUUGGAGGCUUGUCACUCGUCACCUUACAUAGGUCAUCAUGGAGGAAGCCAAACUACCAUUAAGAUUCUCAAAUAACGAUUUUAUUAGCCUACCAUGCAUAAGGACGCCGUUGAAUGGGUGAAAUCUUGUAUAAAUUGUAUAAUGCAUGGUGUCAUUUCAAGAAGGCACGAGAUUCCUCUCAAGCCUAACUUGGAGGUAGAACUCUUUGAUUUAUGGGGAAUCGAUUUUAUAGGACCUUUUGUAAGCUCCUUUGGGAAUAAAUACAUCCAGGAGCGGUGGAUUACAUCUCAAAAUGGGUGUAAUCCAUCGCACUCCCUACUAAUGAGAGUAAAUAAGUUACCUCCUUCCUAAAAAAGAACAUUUUCAUAAGGUUUGGUACUCCUCGGGCCAUCAUUAGUGAUGGCAGCUCAUAUUUUUACAAUCGAAUAUUUGGUACUCUUCAUGAAAAGAAUGGAGUCAAGCACAAAGCCGCCACCCCAUACCACCCCCAUACAAGUGGUCAAGAGAAGGUAUCAAAUCGCGAAAUCAAAGCCAUACUUGAAAAGAUGGCAAAUACAAGACACACUAAUUGGGUAAUGCAACUUGAUAAGGCACUUUAGGCCUAUAGAACAGACUACAAAACCCUAAUUGGUAUGUAUCCCUAUCAAUUAGUUUUUGGUAAGGCAUGCCAUUUACCCAUUGAACUUGAGCAUAAGGCUUUGUGGGCUUUGAAGAGAUUGAAUAUAAACUGGAGAGAAGCAUCCGAGGCACGGGUGGCCUAACUCCAUGAGAUGGAGGAAUUCUGGCUAAAGGCUUAUGAAAGUGCGACAUUGUAUAAGGAGAAAAUAAAGAAAUGGCAUGAUGCUCAGAUAGUGCAGAGAGAAUUCUAUGUUGGAGAGAAUGUACUCCUCUAUAACUCCCAUUUGAAACUCUUUGCAGGGAAGCUCUACUCAAAAUGGUCAAGACCAUUCGUGAUCUCUACAGUCAACCCAAGUGGUACAGUCGAGUUGGAAGAUAAUGAAGGAAAUAAAUUCGUAGUCAAUGGCCAAAGAGUGAAGCACUACAAUGAAAAAUUCCCCAUGAUAGCCAACUUGAGGGCAUUAACUUCAAAGAUGCUACAUGGUAAUAGGAAAGAGUCAUUCUGUGACAUUAAAUUAGGCGCUUGAAGGGAGGCAACCCAUUCUCAACACAUUUUGUGUCAUUUUGGUUUUUGGUAGGUCGUUUAGGACAAAUAAGAUACUCAAAAAAAUAGGGGAAAAUAGAGAUGGAAAAUUUGUAGCUAUGCAGGAAAUGAAAAAUAGAGAAAAAAUAGGGGAUUUCCCUCUCAGUUACUGCAAUCGCGGCCAUCAGAUCGUGAUCACGUCAGCGCGAUCACGGGCAUGAUGACGCAUUUAUGGAACUAGAAUCUUUCGAUGCCUAUUGAUUUAAGGGAGUCUUUCUCACCUCUUUGUACUUUUUGGAUUUUAAAUUUACUUUUGUAAGGACACUCCAACUUUUAAGUUGGGGGUGUUUCAUGGUUAUGUAAGUGGUAAGGCGACAUGAGGUAUCCUGCCUAUGAAUGAACUUUGCCCUAUAAUAAUGUAAGGGAAGUCUGAGUACCUGUAACAUUGUACACCAUUGGCGAAGUCUGAGUAGCCAUAUGGUUAGUUCACUCGUUUUGAGCCAAGAUAUGAGACUAAGGCUUUGGUUGUAGUCGUAAGUUAACAAUAUUGUUCAUGGUACUAUUGCAAAUCAAGAACCCACUUCUUCUCUAAAAUUUUUGAAAAAUCAAGGGCAUGGACGUGAUCAAUGUGCAACAAAAUUUUUUCUCUUUUUCUAGCUUCAUAUAUUUUGACUUGUAGAUAAGGAAUAGACACUCUAUGAUUAUUUCCAUCAGAGGGGACAUUUGAACUCGCUUUAAGAAUUUUGCAUUCCAUGUAUGGUGAGAAUAUUGCAUUCAUCUCUUGUAUACUUGUGUUAUCUAAAACUUUCCCCAUUAGUCUUUCAAAGAAAAUUUUAAUUAUAUUUGGUUGGAAAAAUGAUCUUAGUCCAUCCUUGUGGUCUUGGAACCCACUCUAGCCUAAAAGGCCUACCCAUUCAUAAUUGUAAUCCUUAGUGCCCACUUUGAGCCUUUUUACUUUUCCUUGGCAAACAUGUUACAAGCCGUGAACCAUUUUUUUUAUCCCUCUUUUGAACCCUACCCUCCUUGGACUUGAAAAUUAAACUUGAGGCCAAGAGGCUAAGUUAGGGGUAGUAAAGAUUGAUGAAAGCAAGUUUAGGGCCACAAAUUUGUAAGUGAAAUGCCUAAUGUGCCUAAGCUUUAAAAUCAAAAGAACAAAAUAGGAAAAAGUCUAACAAAGAAAAGUUUUGCAUGGAAAUAAUAAGAAAAUGAAGUAAGAGAAAAAGUGGUGACAAAAGAAGCAAGAGAUAGGCAUGAAGAAAGAAAGAAGAUAAAAAAGAGUAGUCCUUAGUCGAAAGAGAAGGAUCGUACAGAGUGAAGUAGAUGUUCAAGGUAAGGUAUAAUCAUGUUUUUCUUAAAUGAUAUCUUACCCUAACCUGAACCUACAUUACAAGCUUAGAAUGCCAUUUGAGAUCUCCAACCACUUACUUUCUUUGUAGUGGUGAUUGAAAAGAGGGGCAAGCCUAUGGCAUAAUGCCGGUUGCAUUUAGAUUUAUUUUGUGAGGGGAGAGUUCUUGCGCUUAAAUUUCCAUAUUGCAUAUUCGGUAGUUUGGUGUGUGAAAAUUCUCUUUCUUGUGAGGACAAAAUAUAAGUAUGUUGAGGUGACUAACUUUUGUCACCCCCCCCCCCUCUUGAAUAAUGAGGCAAAUGGAGUAUGGUUUAGUGUUAGUCAAAAGGUGAGGCACUUCUAGAGUAUUGGUCUUGGUUGCUUGAUUUCUCUUUAAAGUCUUAUGCAUCCCUUGAUUAUUGCAUUUUUAAUAAGGGUUUUUGUGAAAUUAUUUUAGUACAUGUGCAAUAAGCUACUUGUGGUUGCGAUUCAAGUUGAAGUUGAUAUGGCCUUUAAGGCAUAAAAUUAAGGCAUAGAUAAUUGUAUCUCAUGGUAAGAGGUGGUGUUGCUUGGGGACAAGCAAAUGAUCUAAGUUUAGGGUGUUGAUGAGUGGUGGUUUUAUCACUCAUAUUCAUCCAACAUUCAUACAUUUUUCCUUGAUUUAACUGAUAUAGUGAGACCUAAGUGAUUUACACAAGGGGACUCUAAAUUUGUUAAGUGUGGGGGAAUCCAACCACAUUACAUUUAAUUAGGGACUAUUCAAUGGUUAGAUAUGUGUGUUACUGGACUAAUUUUAUGUGGAAUCAUGCACUAGUAUCGAAUUCGGACUGACCUAAUUUGAUUUCAUGUUGGACUAAUUUCAUAUGGAAAUAUAUGUGUACCUGUUGUCUGAUCUUAUGAGUAAUCGUGCACUUGUGUACCAAUGUAAAUUUAAGAAAAGGCAGAUUUCUAUGUGUUAUAAAUGAGACAGCAGAUGAAUGCACUAUUCUGCUUUAUCUAAAAUUAUGUGAGCAAUUGUGCUUUUGUUGACUAAUACUAGAGGGGAAGACUGAGUAACCCAAUUUUUCUAUCAAAGCAUUUGUACUAGCAACUAAGUGUGGGGUGUUUCAACACCAACAUAAUUAGUUAUUUCUAGUUCAACAUUUUUCGUAUGUUUGAUAUAGUUGGUGCAUUUUCUACUUCAAUAGGAAAUACGUCAAGUCGACAAUAAAAAGGCAAGGCAAAGGUAGGAUCUUCUGAACCAAACAGAAAAAGAAGCAGACUAAGUGGUAGUGUAUCGCAGCCCCCGGCUGUUCAACAUAGGCAAGCAAGAAUGUAUGGUAUUAGUUGGGUGUUAGAUGCUGGCCGAAAAUGGUAUACAAAGCAUGAUGAGUCGAAGUGUACAACUAAAUAAUUUAUUCACAGAGAAAAUCUUCUGAGAGAGUUUCCCCAUAUUAUGCGCCGAAUAGAGGAAUUACAUAUGGAUUUCUUGUUUGCACAGCCUCGUGAUUGCAAUAUGAGCCUCAUAAGAGAAUUUUAUGCCAAUUGGGACCUACGAGAUUGAGAUAAAGAAGUCAAAAUAUGAGGAAAGGUUAUAACUUUCAAUGCUCAUUCAUUGAAUGUUCUUCUCGGGGCACCUGAAGUUGAUGUUGAGCCCCUAAAGCUAAUGCAUGUAGAACCAACUUCUGCCGACAUUCUCUAUUUUCUUUGUAGCAACCACUCGAUAGUAAGAUGGACCCACAAUAAAGAGAACAAUAUUCACCUCACAUUACCCUCAGUUAAAUAAACAAGGAGGCCUGAAUCUGGGAUAAGAUCAUCUACAUUUAUCUCAUACAGGCAAUGCACUUGACUGAUAUGAUACGUGAAUGGGUUAUCUAUGCCUUAAUGUAUGAUAAUUUUGAUGUGAAUGUAGGUACAGUGAUUUUUACAGCUAUGAAAAAGACGCAUCUUCAUUCGGAGAACAGAUUUGGUUUUAGGGGUUUACUGACAAGGUUUUUAUGAGAUCAAGAAGUACAUGAGGAGAACCUGGACUAUAGGUUUCCUGUGAUCACCAGCCCUAUUGAUGUAAUCUACAUUGACUAUGCCCAAGCGUCAGGUUUGGAAUGAUGAGAUUACAACCCGAAUGAAUGGGAUACAGAUGCUUUAAUUACAGGUUGGUAGGCACGCAGCUACCCAAUUGGAGAUUAGAGCGGUAGAGAUGGACUAUUCGCUUGGUUAUCAUGUGAAGACCAUGCUACGAAUAGGUCCUAAUUUUGUAGUGCCAGUUGAUGAUGAUGUUCCCACAAAUGAAGAGCCGAGGGUGCGUUAUUCAGGUGAUGAAUCAAAGGAGGAGGAGCUCAUGAUGAUCUAGAUUUAGGAGAUGAAGAUGCUGAUGUGGUUAAGGAUGGCAUGUGAUCAAAGAGUCCCUCCCCACCUCAUACUAUACUUAUUUUUCAAGAACUGGGUCAGUGCUUUCUUUUAAGUGUGUGCUGUGAAAGUCUCACUACUUUUACUUAUUUCUGUCUUUAUUUUUGUCGAAAAAUUUUAAUUUUCACUUUUGGGUGUUUUAUUUUGCUGUGUGGAUGUUUAAUUUUGCAUUCUGGCUAUUCAGAACACUACGACUGUAAUAGUUAGUAAGUUGAAAGUAUUGCUGCAAUUUGCCCUCAAGGGCUUUUUCGUGCAUUGCUUCAGUUUAAAGUAUUUAUAUUCGCCCUUUUUGGAAAAUUUAGUUUAACAUAUUUAUUUUUGCCCUCCUUGGCAAUUCUUUCAUAGUUAGUUUCCCUCCCCUAUGAUAGAUAUGUGACGAUCGUCUUAAGGGGAGUUAGUCUUUAGAAGCUGAGAAUUGAUAAAAACCCAAUUACGACUUUUGAGAAAUGAUUUGUGUUGGGUCAUUUUUUAGUGAACGAAUUUGUUUUGAAAAAAAGAAAAAAUGAGUUAUUUUUAGAUAUUAAAUCUCAAUAGGUGUAAUACGACUUGUUGGCUUAGUGUGAAUUUGACAAAGAACAAGAUUGGGAACCUUAAGGAUCCAACUUGAUUCCUAGCAUGCACCGAGAGUGUGAGCAUUUGUUUGUAUUCUACAUGUAUAGGAAUGUCUAGAACUUUCCCGGUGUGUUUACAAAUCAAAAUAAAGGGUUUUGGCUGUAGGAAGUGAUUUAGGCAUUUCUUUGUUAGCCAAAUUGUAUAGACUUUAUUUACCUGCUUUUAUGCAUAUCCCUAGUUAGCCCUGUUGGGCCUAUAGCCUGAUUUCUUUGGUAGCAUCAUGUGUAGACAAAUCCUUUGUAGCCUCAUGUGUAGACAAAUCCUUUCUUUGAUAGAACUUUGAUUUGAUCCAUAACUCCUGAGCACUUUAGCAUAGAUGAUUAAAUAAGUAGGGAGUAUGAAUUGAAGAAGGAGAAAGGUGAAAGUGAAGCCUUAAAAGAAUAGCUAUGUGUGUGUUUAAUUUUCGUGGUUGGGAGUUAAAGAAAUUUUUUGAAAAGAAGUUCAGUUUUCUUAUUGCCUAGUUGAGUUACAAUGAAACUAUUUUGGCCCUGGUCCAUUUUGGACACUGUGCACCUCAACCAAGGUGAAUAACUUUAGUUGAGGGUGACUAUUAUAGGGGUGCGUAACAGUAAAUAGGUGUGAAGAAGAUCUGAAAAUUGAAUCAUGAUGUUAAACAAAACUGUUCCCACCAUAGCUUAUGCUAAUGUGCUUAAUGAGAAUUGGGGUGAAACAAAUAAUGUGGAAAGGUAACAAAGUGAAAAUUGGGGUUAUAGAAUGUGAUUUCGGUUGAAGAUUGAUAUGUAUUAAAGCACUUAGGGUGAUUAGUCACUAUUUUUUAAAUAGUACCUACCCGACCCUUAGCCUGCAUUGCAGCCAUGGAAGACCUAGUUGAUCCUACGUUUCAACAUCUGACUAUUAGUGGAGUAGUACACUAAGGGCAAGCUUAUGGUUCAUUUUCUAUCAUGUAUGAAUUCUUUGUUGAGAGUGAGUGAUCGAAUUUUGAUGUUCCCCGCAUGAGAAAUACUGAAAAAUUGUGAGUAGUAUGGGGAAACUUUCUUGUUAUGAGGGUGCAUGCGGAUGAAUGUCUGUAUUACUUAUUAUAUAGUUUGAUUGAGUAUUUUGAUUAAGUUUGCCGAUAAAUCGGAUGUCACUAUUGAGAUAAUGAGGUUUGAAACAAUUUGUUCAUGUUCAUAAAAGUAUUCUUGAUAUGUUUUGAGAUGAAGAGUCAUUGUUAUAAAUUGUAAGUGCCCAAUGCAAGCAUAACUCAUAGGUUGUGAUGUGGAGCUUAAUUAGGGAGUAUAUUUGUGAUUGUUUGAGGAAGAACAAGGUUUUAAGUGUGGGGUGGUGAUCUUGGGUGUAUUUAUACGUCCAAUCACCAAUAUUCACCCAUAUUUAGACUAGUUUUGAGAGCCAAAAUGUGAUAUUCUUAUUGCAUUUAAGCCUUAAUUGUGUUUCGUAUCUAACCUAUGUGAUUAGUGAUGCAAGGUGUAUUUCUAAUGGAAUUGGGCAAAAAUCGAAUGCAUAUUACGAAGCAAGUGGUGAUUGAUAUUAUGAGAUGAUUACAUAGAGUAUCGUGAACAUUGGAAGGAGUUGUAAAGUAGGAGGGAAAGGUUGGAUCAAGUAUCGAAGCAAGAAGAUGAAAGAGAUGCAUUGUUGCAUCUCUGUGGGAGCCGUAGUUGCAAUAUUCAAUAGAUAGAAGAUUUGAGGUCGGGAGACCAAGAUCGUACUAUAAAACUUGUGAAUCAACAACCCGAUAACCACUUAGACAGCGAUAAGAAUAGAGAUUUGUAAGAUUGUUAGAAGUACCUCAACCCUGAAAUUCUCAUCAUUACUGUUUACAAUUGUUGCUUGUUUUGCUAUUGUCACAAAUUUUUAUUUCUUAUUUAUUAAUUUACAUUUUCAUUCUUAAAUUCACAAUCAUCUUGAUAUUUUACAAUACUUAAUACCUCCUUGUCUAAAACUAAAAGUUGGUUGAAUUUCUAGUUGCUUAGUCCUCGUGGGAAUAAUAUCUGACUGUCUAAGUCAGUAUUUUACUUGUAUGAUCACGUACACUUGCAUUUGUAUUUGAGCCGCAAUAAGUUUUUGAGGCAACGGCACCAAAAAAUUGACAGUGCCCAAGCGCACACACAAGUGUACGCGGUCUUAUCAAGUAGUAAAGUGGCUUCAAGGAAGCCCAAGUAUUGGUCUCUCAGGGACUUGCGUUUGCCAAAUAUCUAAUUCUAGUUUAACCAAUUGGGGAGAGUAGAAAAUAGAGUUUUAGAAUUGUAAAUUAAUAAUAAACUAAACUAAUGCGGAAAAGUAAAUGACUUUGGACAAUCAAAGGAUAGAGAUCCAGGGUUAAGGCUUACGAACAAUCAUACUACGUUAUUGAAUUUCAUUCAUUAAAUUGCUUAUCUUGGUUGUUGAUUCAUUGGGUUAAUUGCAUGAUCAUGGUCUCUCGACCACUAAAUAUUUACCUAAUUUGGACAUUACAACUACAUCGUUGAACGGGGAUGCAAUAAUCCAACUAGGUAAUUUGAAGCUAUCAUCCUACGUGUGAAUCAAAUAAGGCUUCUAGGUAUAUCCCUAUCUAAGAUGCUAAUUCAAAUUCCUUAUUUUACAAAAGAAUAAGAACCUUGUUCUAUCUGCCCCAUGUUCUAUAUUUUUAUUCCCCCUUCCAAGAUCAUAAGGUCGACAAUGAAUAUAUUUUAAGGGCUAUGAAUCCUUAAAAUGGUUAUAACAAGGGUAAAUAAACAACCAUAAUGAUAUGCAAUUCAACAAAAUUAAUUCAAAAUAAAAUAAUCAUGAUCUUGGACUCAACCCUAGAAAAGUAGUUUUAGCCUUUAAUGGAAAUAUUCAUCAUCCAAUCCCCUGGAUUGAUGAUACAAGCCAUGAAAGAAACUAAAGUUAAGAAAAUAAAACCCUAAAGAAUGUGUAGAGCAGCCUCCAAUUGUCCAAAGAUAUCCAUAAGUAUGUAAAAACGUGAUAUAACAUUUAUUUAUAGUAUAGGAUCAAUCCAAGUCCGUGUUGGAGUUGGAAAAAUUCAGUUAUUGAUCCCGGGAGUGGACAGGGUGCCGCCCUGGCUAUUGUCCCGCUCCAGGCAAGGUUGCGCCCAGGGUUGAGCACCGCUUCAGGCAAGGCGUAGCCUCCAUAUCACCUUGGUUCAUUGUUUUGGUGACUUCUAAACUUUUUUGAGUGAUUCACAUUCCAAAAAUCCGUUCUACGCGCCAUCACUCUCCCUGGACAUUUCAGUUGUCCAAAUUUACGUCAAGUUGCGUAUUGUGCUUCCGUGAUCCAUUCCAAGCCUUUUUGAGUUGUUUCCACUUGAUUUGAAGAUUUUAUAUCCUUAAUAUAUCAUAAUAAUACAUUCACCAAGAAUUAUAUAGAAUUAAACACAACAAUAUAAAGCUCAAAACAAUACAACAUCCAACACGACGAACUAGAACCACGAGCUAAGACUAGGUGUCAUUCACUUUGAUCUUUAGCUCAUUGUUUUGACUCUUGUUUUGAUCCAAUUGACACUUGAAUAUUAUAAUAAAGUUUUUUAACAUAUAAAUACACAAUAACAACCUCAAGAACUCAUUAAACACAUUAACACCAACAGAUAGACAAGACAAACAUCUAGCUCAAGCUAGUCAAACUAGUUUUCUCGGUUGAACUCUAAAUGAUCAAUUUGAAUCAAAAUUUGUUUGAAAACAUCAUUAAAUAUUGUAAACACAUACUUGGAUACUUAUAUGCUUAUUUAUAUCAUUAUAAACACAUUAAUCACAUGAAUUAUCCCUAAAACAAGGCUAAAAGGGCUAAAAUAACAAGGCUAGAAUUCAUAAAUACACCCAAAAUUACCACCUCACACUUAAAGCCUUGUUCGUCCUCGAACAAUUCUUAACUAUAAGCAUCAUGAGCUGAAGAGACUCCACUUUAUAUAAAAAUACAAUAGACAAACUAGUGUCAACAUUUUAACCAACUCAUAUGAUUUUAACACAAAUUUCACCCAAUCCUGCCAAAUUUCAUAACAAGACUUGACAAGUAGAUCAACAAUGAAUAUGUACAUCAAUGAAUAAGCACAAACUAAAGGCAUUCUCUUAAUUCAGAAGCAACAUUAAACUCUAAGGCAUAAAUAAGACAAUUUCCAAGAAUUCACUAAUAUAACUAUUUCAUGCACCCUAUCAAUUGAAAAAGUAAAGAAUAAAUCACUUACCUCUCAAUUAGUGAUGAAGAUGAAGAUGAAGUUCUUCCUUAUUUGAGAGAAAACCAAUAAUUGUAAGGGAUUUGGGUGAGGGAAUUGUAGGGUGGCAUGGUCUAGGGUUUAAAGUGAAAGGGAAUUUAAAGAAUAAUGUUGUAUUUAAAGGUGUCAAAAAUAGAAGGGGCCACUCCAAGCAAGGCGUCGCGGGCUCUAGAGCCCCAAUACAGGAAAAACGAUGCCCUGGCUGUAGUGCCGGUAUAGGUGAGGCGACGUGGGCUUAACUCCCUUGCUAAGUGGAAUGCCAAAAUUUUUGGCGUAUUUUUUUUAUCAUCUGACAAUAUUUCAUUCUCCCAAUCCUUUUUCACCCUUUAACAUUACAUAGGGAGUAUGUUACUUACCUGAAUGCUUACCCGACAUUAUUUUGCUUACCUCUCAUUUUCCUCCAUGCUUUCAUGUUUCUCAUUCCUGCAUACCAACUAAAAACAACAAAUGAAAGUAAGAAAAAGUGGGUUGCCUCCCACUCAGCGCCUUAGUUUUGGUUGUGGCACAACUUAUUUUUUUGUCAUUUUUAUAUAUAUAUUUUUUAUAAUAACUAAAACAGAAAGGAACUACUCUAUUACAUUAUAUUCGUGGGUUGCCUCCCAUGCAGUGCCUUAUUUUAUAUCGUGCCAUGACUCAGCUCAGCCUCACUCAUCCACAAAGGUGAUGGACACAUUGUGCUUAUCUUCAUGAUUCGUCUAAUAAUGCUUCACACAUUGUCCAUUCACUAAAAAUUUUCAGUCUUUUCUUUAUUCCACAAUUCAACAACUCCAUGAGGCGUUAUUUGCACUACCUCAAAUGGUCCAGACCACUUUGAUCACAGAUUACCCAGAAACAACUUUAACCUUGAGUUAAACAACAAAACAAGUUGUUAGGAUUCAAACACCCUGUCCUGAAUUCACUCGUCAUGCCACUUUUUAGUCUUAUCUUCAUACAGUUCAGAAUUCUCAUAAGCGUGGAGAGCUAUAAAAAUCUCUUUUCUCCUGCAGCCUUCAUGUCAAGGUUCAACUUUUUAACUGCCUAAUAUGCUUGAUGUUCCAACUCCACAGGCAAAUGACAAGCUUUACCGCAGACCAAUCGAUAUGGGGAGGUCCCUUUGGGAAUCUUAUAAGCUGUCCUGUAUGCCCACAAUACAUCAUCUAGAUUUUUGUCCCAAUCCUUCCAUUACCUAUUAACCAUCUUCUACAUUAUUUGCUUUAUCUCCUGGUUGGAUACCUCAACUUGACCACUUGUUUGUGGAUGGUAUGCAGUGGCCACCUUGUGCUUAACACUAUAUUUAGCUAAAAUAUUCUUAGACCAAGUGUUAAUGAAAUGCAUACCUCCAUUACUAAUUAUAGCUCUAGGAUUGCCAAACUGGGAGAAUAUGUGCUUCUUCACAAAUUUCAAUACCACUCUCGCGUCAUUAGUGGGACAAGCUACAGCUUCCACCCACUUGGAUACAUAAUCAACUGCCACUAAGAUAUACAAGUUGCCAUUAGAUGGUGGGAAUGGUCAAAUACAAUAUAUACCCAAAAAUUUAAACACUUUAACUUAAAGAAUAUUGUUCAGGCGCAUCUCAUGAUGCCUUGAAAUUGUACCCAACCUUUAACACAGAUCACAACUCUUCACAAAAGCCACUCUAUCUCUAAACAAUGUUGGCCAAAAUAAGCAAGAUUACAGCAUUUUUUUAGCUGUUCUUUUACCCCCAUGAAUGACACUUUUGUAGCACUUGUUUAAAUUUAGCUUUCAGAACACAUAUGUGUAUAAUUCCAUCAGGACCCUGCUUGAACAGAUAUGGCUCGUCCCAUAUGUAAGCAUGAGAAUCAUGUAACAAUUUUUUCCUCUAUUGAAUUAUAGAUUCAGGAGGGUAAAAGUCACUCACAAAUAAGUUCACGAUGUCUGCAUACCAAGGAACUUCACACACCUCUAUAGACAAUAAUUUUUCAUCCAAAAACUCUGUUUGAAUGUAGAGAAAGUUAUCAACAACAUAAUCAUGAGCCUCUAGCCUUGACAAAUGGUCUGCAACUUGAUUUUCUACUCCUUUUCGAUCAUAAACCUCUAGGUGAAAUUCUUGUAGUAGCAAAAUCCACCUAAUCAAUCAUGGCUUUGCAUCCUUUUUGUUGAAGAGAUACUUGAUGGCGGCACGAUCUGUGUGAAUAAUUACCUUGGUGCCCACCAAGUAUGAUCUAAACUUGUCGAAUGCAUAAACUAGUGCUAACAUCUCCUUCUUCAUAACUUUGUAUUUAUUUGGGAAUCAUUCAAAAUUUUAAUAGCAUAAUAAAUAGAGUAAAAUACCUUGUCUUUUCUCUGCCCCAAAACUGCUCCCACAGCUACAUCACUGGCAUCACACAUUAGCUCAAACGGUAACUCCUAAUCUAGAGAAAUCAAGAUAGGUAUUUCGGUCAGCUUCUCAAAAAAUUCUUGACAAUCUGCUCCAAAAUCAAACUUGGCAUCUUUUUCUAGUAAUUUACACAUCAGGAUUGCAAUCUUCAAAUAGUCCUGAAUAAAACACCUGUAGAAACCCGCAUGCCCCAAGAAACUUCGCACUUUCUUGACUGUUAUCGGAUGUGGCAGCAUUUUAAUCACUUCAAUUUUGGCUCUAUCUACUUCCGGUCCUCUACAUUACACUUUACGGACAAAAGCUAUUCCUUCCUUAACCAAAAUGUGGAACUUUUCCCAAUUCAGCACUAGAUUUGUCUCUUCACAAUAAGCUAGGACUCGAUCUAGAUUUUGCAAGCAUACAUCAAAAUAAUUAUCAUAAACAAAGAAGUCAUCCAUGAAUACCUCAACAAAUUCUUCAACCAUGUCAUAGAAAAUUUCCAUCAUGCAUCUCUGAAAUAUUGCAGGUGCAUUGGAAAAGCCAAAAGGCAUGCAUCUAAAUGCAUAUGUGUCAUAUGGAGAAGUUAUAGUUGUCUUUUCUUGGUCCUCGGGUGCAAUGGUGAUCUAAUUAUAACCCAAGUAACCAUUUAGAAAAUAUUAGUACUCCUACCAUGCCAGCCUAUCCAACAUAUGAUCAAUGAAAGAGAUAGGAUAGUGGUCUUUUCUUAUGGCUUGAUUUAGCAUCUGAUAGUCAAUACAGAUUCUUUAUCCAGUCACCAUGCAAGUGGGAAUUAGCUCAUUUGCUUCAUUAGUAACCACGGUCAUCCAACCUUUCUUUAGGAUGUAAUGUAUUGGGCUUACCCACUUGCUGUUUGAAAUUGGAUAAAUAAUCUCAUUAUCGAGCCACUUAAUGACCUCUUCACCACGUCCUUCAUUGUUGGAUUCAAUCUAUGUUAUUGUUGUUCCCUUGGUAUGAAACCUUUUUCCAUGUAUAUAUUGUACAUAUAAAAAUCCGAAUUUAUCCUGGUAAUAUCAGACAUCUACCACCCAAUCAUGUUCUUCCUUUUUUCAAAACUGUCAUAGCUUCCCUUACCUGCACAUCAAAAAAUCUACGAAUAAAAUAAUAGGCAAGGUAUUAUUGUCACCAACGUAAACAUAUUUCAAGUGAAAAAGAAGAAUCUUAAGCUCCAAUUUGGGAGCUUCAUCAAUUGAAGCUUUGGACAAUGGACCAAUUAGCCUGUUCAAUGGCUCAAAAAAUAGCUUUCUUAUUUCCACAGCUGCCAAAUUCAUGACUUGGACCAAUUCUAGCGCCUCUACGUCUCCAUAAAGAUCAUAACCCAUCAAAGCUCGCUCUAGUGGAUCAUCAGACAACAACAAAUGUAACUCAGAUACAAGAUCAAUGACUGAUAUGGAAGAUAAUUCUUCAUAUAUAGCCGGUAAUUUCAGUGCUUCGUGUAGAUCAAAAACCUCUACCUUAUCAUGUGCUCUCAUUGUAAUUUUCACUAUUGAUACAUCAAUUAGUGACUACCUGGAUCCUUCAUUUUUAUGGGUAGAUUAUUUUGUAUCUUGGAUGUGCACUCUUCAGUAAGUGCACCUAUAGCAUACUCUAUCAACCAGUUCUUGUUUGCCACUAUAUACUUCAGGUAUUUUUCAUAUUUUAGAACACUCUGUAGAAUAUCAACAAGAGAAAGAUUUACUUGAACCUACUUUAGAAGAUCCAAAAAUUUCUUGUAACUGGCAUUCUCUUGAUACUUUCUUUGUCUUUAAGGGAAUGGUAGAGGUAGAGUCUUAUUUUCCACAAGAGUUUUAUCACUUGCAUUUUUUUCUUUAACCCUUUUCUCCUCUUUAUCUUUAGAAGCAUCAUCAGUGAUUGAAGGACUAACAUAUUCAGGUGCCAUCUUCUUUAACUUCAAACCACUCAUUAUUGUAACGGCAUUUACAUGGUUUGGAUUUGCCUCUGUAUCUCUAGGUAAGCCUCCUUGAGAUCUUGUGUUUUAUGGUCCCACAAUCUUACUGAGUUGCAACUCCAAAUUCUUAGUGAUCAACUAUUGACUCUUUAAAUUUGUUGAAAACUAUGCUUGAUUCGCCAACAACUACUUUAUCAUCUCCUCCAUAUUACUUGAUUGAGAAGUAGUCUGAUUAAUCUAAAAUAGCUGUUGAUUCUGCUGCACUGGUACCUUGUACUGAUUAUUGUUUUAUGCCUGAUUUCCUCCCUAUGAGAAAUUGGGAUAAUUUCUCUAGUUGGGAUUAUAUGUGUUACCAAAGUUCUGUUGUCCUGGACGGUUUGCAUUCCCUACAUAAUUCACAAAAGCUGGAUUAACCGCACAAGCAUUUACUGUAUGUUCGCUACUUUCAUAAACCUCACACCAAGAAUUUAUAUGUUGGACUGCAUUAGCUGUAGUUAUUGCUUGCAGAACCCUCAACUUUAUGUUGUUCAACUGAGUAAGCAUCUGAUUUUGCAUUGUUGUAAGUUGAUCCGAUAGAGCAGUAAACUGAUCUACCUCUAACACACCCGCAACCUUCUUAGGAGCACUCCUUGAGUUAGAAUGCCAUUCAGGGUUCCCUUGUAAAAUUUGAUUCAGCAAUGUGUACAAUUUAUCAUAAGUCUUCUCAAGAGCUUGCCCACCUGAUGCUGAAUCCAAGAGAAUUUUGGUAUUUUUCUCUAACCCCUUAAUGAAAGUAUGAACAAGAACAUAUUAGACUGAUGAUGGUGAGGGCAAUUUCUGAGCAUACUUUUAAAUCUCUCCCAAUGUUGGUAGAUAUUCUCUCCUUCUUUCUGUCAAAAAUUCAAAAUCUCACUUCUUAACAUACAGUCUUCCCAGAUGGAAAGAAUCGAAUAAGGAACUUCCAAGCUAGAUCUUCCCAAGAAGUGAUGGAGAGUAGUGGUUUAGUAUGUAACCACCUCUUCACUUCCCUAAUUAAAUUAAAGGGGAAAAGUGUCAAUCUAACAUUAUCAAUACUUACCCCUGCAGGUAUGUAAGUAUCACGUAUUUCCAGGAAUAUUUGUAUAUGCUGCUGUGGGUCUUCAUGUGAAAGUCUAGAAAAUUGACCAACCAAAUUCAGCAACUGCACCAUACUAUGCUUUAAUUCAAAUCAACCAUCUGGCUCGUGCUUGCGAAUACUGUUAGUAGCAUGGUUCGUGAGUGGGAUUUCCACCUUACUAAUAGGUCUAACAGUUGAUUGAGCAGGAAUAGCUGGGAUAACUGGAGAUGGGAAAUGUUUGGCAUUUAGACCAAUAGGAUCAUUAAAUCAACUCUUUCAGCCAUUUGAACCUGUUGAAUGGGAUAUUGAGCUUUUCUCCUUUGUUAAAAUAUAAGUUCUAGUUCUAUAAAAGGCUCUACUAACUCUUUAUCUCUCACCAGUCCUAUAUUCAGCUAAACCUGCAAAAUUUUAGCCGCUAAGAUCAAGUCAUUUACACUUAAACUUCUUAUCAAAAACAAAAAAUUUAGCAAAGUACUAAUUAUACUAGUCCUCGACAACGGAGCCAAAAACUUGUAGUGCCUUAAAAGUACACGCAAGUGCACUAAUUAUACUAUUCCCCAAUAAUGGCACCAAAAACUUAUAGAAGGUCAAAUGUAAACACAAGUGAACGUGAUAGUACAAGUAAUAUAGUGACUUAGACAAUCAGAUAUCAUUCCCACGAGUACUAAGCAACUAAAAAUUCAACUAACUUUUAGUUUUAGACUAAGUGGUAUUAAGUGUUGUAAAGUAUCAAGAUGAUUGUGAAAUUAAGAAUAAAAAUGUAAAUUAAUAAAUAAGAAAUAACAAUUUGUCACAAUAGCAAAGCAAAAAAUGGUUGUAAAUAGUAAUGAUGAGAAUUCCAAGGUUGAGGCACUCUAACAAUCUUACAAAUCUCUAUUCUUAUCACACUCUAAGUGGUUAUCGGGUUGUUGAUUCGCAAGGUUUAUAAUAUGAUCUUGGUCUCCCAACCUCAAAUCUUCUAUCUAUUAAAUAUUGCAACUACAGCUCCAGCAAAGAUGAAACAAUUCAUCUAGAUUCAUAAAGUUAUCUUCUUGUAAUUGAACCAAGCAAGGCUUCUAGGUAUAUCCCUAUCCUAGAAGCUAAUUCAAACCUCUUAUUUCAGAAAAAAAAAAGAUAAGAAUUUUGAUCCUUAAUUUCUUCAUUCUAUCCUACGAUUCUCCUCCUAGAUUCAUAUAGAAAUAUAUAUUUAUUCUAAUGGUGGCCACUCAUUAAAAUAGUAAGCUCAAGAAAUUAACAACAACCCAUAUAAUAAUCCAAAAAAAAUUACAAUAAAGAAUAUCAAAGAGUAAUCAUGUUCUUCGCCUCAACCCCAGAACAAGGGUGUUUAGCCACUUAUGUCUGAAUUCAAUAUCCAAAAUAAGCAAUUAAUCAUACGCAAAAUUAAUCUUGAAGUGAAAGAGUUCAAAAAAAAGUCUAAGAACCCUAAAAGAGAGAUUUUUAUACUUUUCCACCGUUGUUAUGCUUGAAAAAAUUGAUAGAGAUUGUGUUCACGUGUUCCUUUUAUACUGGGACAAAAUUAGCCUGAGCGGAGUGGAGCCCGUUUCACAUUAUCUGUAGCCCGGCUCCAAAUGAGGCGCCACUAUAUAUUUAGCAUUGUUCCAAUUGAGGCACCGUAGGCUUUUCACCUUGAUCCACUAUAAUUCACCUUAAGAAAUUUAUCUAUGUCCUUGGAGCCCUACUCCAGGCGACGCGCCGCCUUAUCUUCAGAGCCUCUCUAACUAAUGUGUCGCAGGCUUGUCACCCUGGUCUACUGGAAUUUACCUGGAUAAAUUUUUCUAAGUCCUUGGAUCACGCGUCGCAGGCAUAUCACCUUGCACCACUGGAAAUUCAUUUUUCACUAUUUUUCAAAGGCACAACACUUGUUCUUUUUAGCUCCUUGAUCUGAUACGUGAUCCAACCUUUCUCCCUUUUUUUACAACUCCUUCCAAUGUCCUCGAUACUCUGUAUAAUAAACUCAUAAUAUCAAUCACCACUUGCUUCAUAAUAUGCAUCUAAUUUUUUUCCAAAUCAAUUAAAAAUCCAUCCUACAUCGCUAAUCAUGUUGGUUAGAUAUGGAACACAAUUAAGGCUUAAAUACAAUAAGAAUAUCAUAUUCUGGCUCUUAAAACAAGUCCAAAUAUGGGUGAAUAUUGGUGAUUGGACAUAUAAAUAUGCCCAAGAUCAGGGGUGUUGAUGAGUGGUGAUUUUACCAUCAUAUACAUACAAGAUUCAUACAUUUUUCCUUGAUUUAACUGAUUUAGUGAGGCCUAAGUAUGAGUAAGUGCACUAUUAUCCACUCCUUGCAGGUAUAGAUAUGAAAAGAUGGAAAGAAAUGGAUUAAAUCUUGAAAUGAUAAAAAAGAAGCAGAAGAAGUGCAAUUGCAUACUUACAGCCAAAAGGACCUUGGGUAUCGCACUUGCGAAUAGAUCACCAUGAUCUCUUUCAGCCAAGUAGAGAAUCUAUUUAGCCUCUGGUAAUGCGAUCACGAUCUGAUGUACACGAUUGCAAAUCAAGCAAGUUAGCCAGCAUCACGCGAUCGCUUGAUCAUAACUGCGAUCGCGGUUGUGCGAUCGCAGUCAAGCCCAACAAUUGCGGCAUAGCAGGCUAAAUGAAAAAAAGUCUAUUUGCUAAAUUAUACAGCUAAGUCAAGAUUUAGAUAAAGAAUUAAAAACAGUCUUGUGAGGGGAAGAAAAACCCUAGAAUUUGAGAGGAGAGAAAAAGAUAGAAAACUUAAGAUAGUUUUUCUAUCAUUGUGAUUUUUGUUUCUAAGGAGAAAUUAGUGAAAUUUGAUUGUGGAAUUGAAUAUUAUUUCACCCUCUCUUAGUAUGAAUUCCAUGGAUGCAUUACUUGGUAACUUUAUUUUUCCUUAUUUAAUUAGUAGCUAAUUUCUUUAGUUUUGGGAUUAUGUUGAAUUAGAGUGUGAUUGUUUAUGGGUUUUGUUAGGUUUGCAUGGAUUUUAGUUGUUGAGUAUGGAUUUCACCAUUGCUUGAACUUAUGUAUUGGAAUUUGAUGGGUGAAAACUCCAAAUAUCCAAAUGGGUUUGAUGGGUGAAAGCCUAAUCUCUAAAAAAUCUUUUUCAUCCUCGAAGAAGGAAUUUGGAAAAAUAUUAAGUAACACAUAACAUCCUCAAAAGAGGGUUAUCGGGGGACAAAGCAAUGGUGAACAACUAAGCCUAUGGUUUACUACCCUUUGCAAUCUUAAACAUAAGUUCUUAGAGAGUGUGAAUCAUGUCAAGAGCAUCAUCCUAGAAAUAGGAAUGUUUGGUUAAGGUUUUGGGUGGCUAUAUAAACUCCACACUUGUUAGGAGCUCGAAAGAGCCAACCGGUGAAAUCAAUGGUGUUUUAUUAAAAGAUUUACCUCAAUGAUAUUCAACCUAGCCUAUCCGUCAAUUAACAACUAAAUUCCAUAAUAAACCAACAUUACGCUGCAUGUUUUACUUCUAAGGAUACUUAAUCCCAAGAUCUCUCAAAACUUAAAGUUUGAACCUAAGAUAGCAUUUGCCACCUUCUUGAUGAAUUUUAUGUGAAAAUUUUUUCAAGAAAAUCCCAUAUUUAUUUACACAUGUUGUUUUCAUUAGCAUUCCAGGUAACCUCAUAGUAACUUAAGCACCUAUAGGUUCAAAGUCUAUAGCAUUCACUCCUUAAGAUUCGACCUAAUUUACAUUGGGUUACUUGAUAACGACCGUCUCACCCUUUAAUUAUGGGAGUGAGUUGAGCAUUAUCACUGGUGGUCAUGGGGAUACUCAAUUAGGUAGUGGAUGUGGAUAGUGUUAUACCCGCCAAAUUAGAGGCAAAGGCUUCCAACAUUAUUAUCACAAGUAUUAUCCCCAUUUAUUUAAGAUCUACAUAUAUGUUUUUUAUUUUGGAUCGACUUUCUUGUGUGUUUGCAUAACUUGAUUUGGGUUUUGGUUUUACUAGUAAGCCUCUUGCCAUGCAUAUUCGUGUAUCUACCCCCAUAGGAGACUCAUUAGUGAUGGAUCGAGUGCACCAAUCUUGUGUUAUGACUUUUGUGGGCCGAAAGAUUUAGAUAGAUCUGAUUAUCCUAAUAUGGUAGAUUUGGAUGUCAUCUUGUGUAUGGAUUAUUUAGAUUCCUAUCAUGUUGUUUUAGACUGCUAUGCUAAGAUCAAUACUUUAGGGUCAUCAGGUGUGUCAAGGAUGGCUUGGAAAGGUACACUUCAUUCGAGACAAAAAAAAGUUAUAUCCUUUCUUUGGGUUCGUCGCUUGGUAGAGAUGAGGUAUUUGUCAUAUUUGGUGCAUAUUUGUGAUGUUAGUGUUACUUUACCAUCUUUCUUAGAUUCUAUUUGUAUGUCCGUGAGUUCAUGCAUGUUUUUCUCAUAGAUUUUCCUAGUAUGCCUCCGAAUCGAGAUAUUGACUUUGGUAUUAAUGUUAAGUAAGCCACCAAACCCAUUUCUAUUCCUCCCAAAAGGAUGGCCCUAAUGUAGUUAGAGGAUAAGUUGUAGGAAUUGUUGUAUAAGGUAUUAAUCUGGCUUAGUGUACCACUUUGGGGUACACCUGUCUUGUUUGUGAAGGGAAAGGAUGGGUCCAUUUAUAUGUGUAUUGAUUAUCGACAGUUAAACAAGAUGAUGAUUAAGAAAAAGUAUCCUCUUCCUUACAUAAAUGAUCCAUUGGAUCAGCUCUAGGGGUACUUUAGCAUUUUCAAAGAUGGAUUUGAGGUUUGGUAUCACCAGUUAAGGAUUAGAGUUUUUGAUAUUUGAAACACAACUUUUCAAACUCGAUAUGGUCACAAUGAGUUUUUGGUCAUGUCUUUUGGGUUGACCAAUGCCCCUGCCAUAUUCAUGGAGUUGAUGAACCAAGUGUUUCAAGAAAACCUUAUAUACCAAAUCUCAAACAUAUAUAUACUAAACAUAAAAUAUAAUUUUUAUAAUUUUUAAUUUGAGGAAAAAUGGUGAAAAGAUAAUUUUGUCUGUUAUAGAGAUUUUUAAUAAAAGGAAAAAUGUAUGAAUCAUUUUUCUAGGGAUCUUCAUACUUUUAAUAUAUUAUAGAUUAUAGACAUUGAUAGAAACAGAGAUGUGGAUAUAGAUAUGAUUAUAGAUGUCAGCACCCAAAAACUUAGGUCACGAUUGCACUUAUUACGGCUAAUCCAUAAUAAGGCCAAUCACAACCAACAUGUUAAUGAAAAUUACUAUAUAAAUCCCAAGGCAAUACUUAUAGUCAAAUUCAAACCAUAUAUGCAUAAGGAUAGUGGAAUCGUUAAUGGUGGAUCAGGUGCACCGUUCUUAUGUUGUGACUUUUGUGGACCGUGAGCUUGGAUGGAUCUAAUUAUCCUAGAUAUGGUAUAUUUUAAUGUCAUCUUAGGUAUGGUUUGUUUAGCUCUCGAUUAUGUUGUUCUAGAUUGCUAUGCCAAGACUGUGACUUUCGCUUCGUUGGGUGUGACAAGGAUAGCUUGAAAGGGUAUGCUUUAUUUGGGCCCCAAGGAUAGAACUGAAAGGUAUUUAGAUCGUAUAUCGACUCUUUUUUCAUUGUAUUUAUAGAUGAUAACUUGGUUUACUCCAAGAGUGAGGCUGACUGUGAGGAGUAUUUAUGGAAUUUGCUUUAGAGAUUGAGAAAUGAAAAGUUGUAUGCUAAGUUCUCCAAGUGCGAGUUUUGGUUGGAGUCUAUCUCUUUCUUGGGUCAUAUUAUGACCAAGGAUAGUAUCAUGAUCGAUACGGCCAAGAUUAAAGUAGUUCAUAAUUGGGAUGAACCUAUUUCUCCUACCAAAAUUUAAUUUUUAUUGGUUUGGCAGGCUACUAUCGAUGCUUUGUUAAGGAUUUUUCAUCUAUUGUGGUUCCAUUGACCAAGUUGACUGAAGAUUUCUUUUUAGUGGUCCGAUGCUUGUGAAGGCGAGAUUUCCAAAUCUCAAGGAUUUGUUGACCUCAGCUCCUAUCUUGACUUUGCCUAAGGAGGGUGCGGGCGUUACCAUCUUCUAUAAUACUUCUAGUUAGGUGCAGUAUUGAUGAAGGAGGGUAAGGUGACUGCACAUGCUUCCCGCCAAUAGAAGCCCUUUGAGAAGAAUUAUCCUACCCAUGAUUUGGAGUUAUGCGCAGUUGUAUUUGCUUUAAAGUUGUGGAGGAACUAUUUGUAUGGAGUCCAUUGUGACAUCUUCUUAGAUCACCAUAGACUUCAAUAUUUAUUCACCCAACAAGAUCUUAAUAUGAGACAACACGGUUGGCAUGUGUUGCUUAAGGAUAUUGACCAUACUAUUCUCCAUCAUCAAGGAAAGGCUAAUAUGAUCGCAAAUGCCUUGAGCUGAAAGUGGACUAGUACGGGUAGCUUGGCAUAUUUAUUGACCCAGGAGAGGCCCUUGGCCUUAUAGGUUCAUCCUUUGGCUAACCAAAUGGUUAGUCUUGAUAUUUCGACACCUGGGUAUGUUUUGGUAUUUGUGGAAGCUAGGUCUUCUUUUUUGGAGCAAAUUUAGGCUCAUCAGUUUGAUGAUGUUGGGUUGAGAAUAAUUUAGGAUAAGGUGUUGAGUGGUUAGAGAAAUGAAGCCUCACUCUACCUUGAUGGUGUUUUAAGGAUUGGGGGCCAAGUUUGUGUGUCGAGAGUGGGUGAUUGGAUGAGGCUGAUAUUAGAAGAGGCCAUUAUUCUAGGUACUCCAUUCAUCCAAGAGUGACCAAGAUGUAUGGAUAUUUGAGACAACAUUCUGGUAGGGUGGUAUGAGGAAGGAUGUAGCAGAUUUGUAACUUGUUGCCUAUGUUACUAGAUAAUUAAGGCUGGGAAUUUGGGUCCUAGUGGUUUUUUUCAGUGGUGACCCAUUCUCGAGUGGAAAUAUGAAUCGAUAACUAUGGACUGCGUGAUUAAGUUACCUCAUACUUCUAAUAGUUCUGACAGUGUUUGGGUCAUCAUGGAUCGAUUGACCAAAUCUGCUCAUUUAAUUCUUAUUUAGGAUUCCUUCAGUGCUGAGAGGUUGACUCGUAUGUGUCGUGUCCCAUUUUCAUCAUGGAAGGCGGGAUUCGACUUGAUAAACUCUUUUUGGGAUUGUUUUAAGGUGAGUGUGUGAAGAGUCGCCAUCUAACAAAUUAAGGGUGCAUUAGGGCACUGGUCUAGGCUAACUACGAACCUAUUUUGUUAUUUUAUCUUAGUUCACCAGAGUUCGGGUAAGGAUUCAAAUUACCUCAAAAGGAAGGUGUUAGGCACCUUUUGAGGCCCACAAAGGUUGUUCCCGACCGAAUUCGUACUUUACGUGGGGAUUCUAUGUGAUCAAAUAAAGUCUCUUAUUUUUAUAUUUAAUUUAAUGUUUGGCUACAUGAUAAAGUAAUUAACAAACAUUUAAUUUAAUUGUUUUAGCUAUUAAUCAUCUAAGUGAUAAAGUCAAUAAAAAUAUGUAAAUAAAAUAAGCGAGGAGAAAGAAGUGACAAAAUAAAAAUAAUGGGAACUGCUUAUGUAAUAAACUAACUAUCCCUAAUAAACAUGUAAAGUAAAAAAAUUGUCCAAGUCAAACAAAGAGAUGUUUUGGUUUUAUUCGAAUCAGAAACCCAACUUGUUAAUCAUCAUCCGACCCAAGGGCCGAACUCUUAGACAAGUAAUAAUGUGAUUAGCCUUGCCGUUAAUAUUUUGUUGGGAUCAUCAUUUUCGAAUGACUACCUGUCCCACCCCACCUAGGUUGGAUGUUAAGUUUAAGGGCGUUCUAUGACAAGGAUAAAACUAACGUUUUUAGUAAUACUUAACGAUACACCUAUCAUCCAAAAGGCAUUGGACUUUACUAUUUUUGGAUCUGUGUUCUAGACGAAAAGAAAACUAUGUUGCCUAGGACUCGAAGUGCGUAACACGUUGGACCGCAAGUAGCACAUAAUUGUCCUAAGUUAGCUUCUUGGUUAAUUAACGCUAAUUAACAUGAUAGCAUGCGAAGACAAAUAAUUAUUUGUUACGUCAUUAACCUAUAGGCAUGGUGUCUAAAUGAUCAAUGAUUCAUGAUAAAAGACUGUGAUUUGCGUAUGCAACAACCUUAUGUGUGUUCAUGGGAGGUGUCAAAAGUGUGGUAAAUGUGUCAAGAAAAUGUGCUUGUAAAUUAAGUGUUAUAAACUAUAAUGAGAAUACAAGAAACUAGUAAAAUAUUAAAGGAUGUGUUAACAUGUCAAGGAUGCACUUAAAUGCGGAGAACAAAUUAACAUGUAGAAAAUGUAGAGAAUUACUAGUAUUUUAGCAUGCAGGAAGUCAGCUAAACAUGCUGAAAAAUUAAUUAAACAUGCUGAAAAAUUAAUUAAACUUGCUGAAAAAAUUAAUUAAACAUGCUGAAAAAGUUAAUUAAACAUGCUGAAAAAUUAAUUAAUCAUGCUGAAAGUUACUUAAUCAUGCUUGAAAGUUACUUAAUCAUGCUGGAAAGUUACUUAAACAUGCUGAAAAGUUAUUUAAACAUGCUGAAAAAAUUAAUUAAACAUGCUGAGAAUAACGUUAAGGUGCAGUAUUUUCAUGUUGAUAUGCUGAAAACAUGCCAAGAAUGCCUAAAAUCUAAUAUUUUAACAUGUUAUAAAUGUAAGAAACUAGGAUUUUAAACAUGCUGGAAUUCAGUCUAAGUGCUAAAAAUUAUUUAGAUGCGUAGAAAAAACAUUUAAAUAUGCUGAAAAUUAAUCUAAAAUUGCUAAACUAGAUGUUAGAUAUGCUGAAACUUUGAUGUUAACAUGCUCAAAUUGUUUUAAUAUGUCUAAAACUGUGUCGACACGCCUAAACAUGUAAAGACAUACUAAAUAAGUUGUGCUUAAUAUGCAAAAAUUAAUAUAAUAAGCUAACGUAUCAAAAAUAUUAUCAUGCCUUAAUUCAAUGUGGAUAUGUUAAAAAAGUGUUAGCAUGCUUAGGUUCAAAUCAAUAUGCUUAACAUGCAGAAAUACGUCAACAUGCCUAUUGUCAAAUUAAUAAGCUUAAUAUCAAUUAAUAUGACACGUCAAUUUUAGAUAGAUAAGAGUAAUAAAUAAACCGUAGCAAGAUUCAUAUUAAUAGACCCUAAUUUUGUGCCUAGAUGAUUCAAAUAACACGUCUUGCAUGUAAUCCUAGGUUGUUCCUACCUGUACCGUUCACAAAGCACAUAAUCUCCGUCCCCCAAAGCAGUCCCCAAAAAAUUAUAUUAUUACCUCGAUAAUAAUAUCUUUACACAAUAUUACAAAUCUAAUAAUAAGAAAGUACACUAAAGCUAAUACAAUCUAAUUAUAUAACUAAUUUGAUGACUCUUCGAAACCCGUAGUUGUCUACUUAAAUCUGCAAAAUAAGAUGUAAUGGCAAGCAAAGCAAGAAUAUAUAAUGAACAUUAAAUUUCCUAUAGACAUUUUUUCUAAAGGUUGUCACGGCAUGAUCCAGUCAACAAACAAAGAAAAAAAACUGCGUCAAUUCGUGAACUUACCAGUGAUUAGCAGUAAGAAAGAUAAAUAAUAAUAGAAGCCAAAAGCCAAGUAUACGUAAUAUCUCAAUAUGCAAGAUAUGAACAGCAGCCUCUAAAGAGAAACAAAAAGCACUUAAAAAUAUUUAAUUGCCUUUGCAACAAGUAGCCAAUGAUUUUUGUUAAGAGUAGUAGUAGUAAUUGUAAUGGUAAGACUUGAGAAAUUUUCACUGUCCCCUUUUGUGAAUGAAGGAAGGGGUUUAUAUAGUGUCAACGAAAUCAGUCUGCCGAGACAAAACAGGAAAAGAAAUAUUCCACCCCUUUAAUUACUGAAGUGAUAUUAUGUAAAAUCAGUCGGGGGUAAAAAUAAGAAAGAGGAGAAAUCAAUCACCCAUAAUUUCCUUAGAAAAAGGCUUGCUCAAUCAAUUAUUUCAUGUUUGUUAUAAAUAUGUGGUUAAGAAAAGAUGCUAAUUUGAAAGAGGAAAAAUAAUAAAAGAAACACUUAUCAUUUACCAUAUAUACUCAAAUUAAUUAAAAGUCAUCCGCUAAUUCUGCUAAAAACCCAGAAUCUAUUGACAAUUAGGAACAAACACAAUCAAUAUUUUGCCAUAAACACUGAUUCAAAUAUAAUCCAUGUAUAGCACCUUUCAAUAACAAGCAGCAGUCAGCAAACACAAUGAGUGUCAAAAUUGAGAAUUUUUGCACAUAAUAGUCCAACGAUAAACACGUAGCUAGAUGAAUUAACUCACACUGAAAGUUAGAUAUCAUAAACCUUAGGCAAUUCGGUAAUGAAAAAAAUAUACAAAUCAAAUCGACAAUAAACAUGCCAUUAAAGAAAUAAACUGUAUAAUAGUCCGAUCUCGAAGGUGCUGUUUUUAUUGGUGGUAGCACCGAAGAUGAAGGGGGGUGCGAAUUUGGAGCGACGCAGGAGAGAGGCAGAUAAAGGGGGUCGAAUCGUGGCUGAUGAAGGUGGCAGAUCUGGGUUCGACACUGGAAUAGUGGCUCUAAUCAGCGAUGGAAGGCUGGUAGCGAAGGCGGGGUUGGAGCGGCGCCAGUGUGCUGAUUGGUUUAUCGCCGGUGAUGGCGACGAUGGAAUAGCGGGGAGAGAGCUGGUGGCAUUAUUUACCAGUAGAGGAUGAGAGGAGAGGGGCGGCGGCUUGUUGGCGGUGUUGUUCACCGGUGGAGGACGAGAGAAGAAGGGCGGCGGCUUGUUGGUGCUGUUGUUAAUUUUAUCAUAGGGUUUGAAAGGAGGGAGAUAGAGAGAGAGAGGAUAGGGAGGAUUCUUUGGAUGAAAUGGGGAGAUUAGGGUUAGGUUUUGGAUUAAGAAGGAAGGAAAGGGUGUAUCUGAUUUCAGCCAUUGGAUCGAUCUUGAUCUAUGGCUGAGAUUAAAAAGAUAAGAAUAUGAAUUGGGAUUUUUAAAAUUGGGUUAAAU
rnacentral:lncRNA from 1 species